UUGGAGGCUGCAAAUUGACUUGAAAAAUAUAUAUUUUCCUAGGAAUGGCUUAUGAGAAAUGAGUAUAUGUGGCUAUAUUUUGUGAGUGCAUUGGGAAAUUUAUGUAAGUUGUUUUUACUAUGCAGGCUGGAUAAAUAAAUAAAAGCCACGUUAUACUGUCGAAAUUUUAUUAAAAUUGGUGGGUUAGUCACUGCAGUGACGGGUUUCCGUGGACUGCCUAUUAGAGGGGCACGGUAAACCCAGUUAUAUAGUUACUCCGGUUGUAGAGGCGAGGAGGGUAACUCCCGGGGUAGUAUUAGAGCUCACUUCACGUCGAACCCCCACGUGAAUGUGUAACUCGGCCAACGCCAAGGAACGGCUGGUUUUAAAAAUAAAAAUGUGUUUCACGUGUGAAUAUUUUAACACCCUUGGCGGACUCGGUUAGAUGCCUCGGCCAAGGUAUCCCCGAGGAUUAGUUUUGGCUUGAGCCUUGUUUUAAUAAAAGACAUAAGCCUUAACAACUGUUUUGGUAAAUUACAAAUAUUUUAUGGUUUAAGAAAUAAAUUGGAAACAUUAUGAAAUGGGUUGAAAUUUGUUGUUUAAACUUGCCUCCAUUUUACUCGCCUUUAGAUAUUUAUGAUAAUGUCUGUUUACUUAUUAGGAUUGCAAAAUCUCACCCAACUCCUUUCCACCCAUUUCAGGUUCAGUAUAGACAGUAGAUAGCUGAUCUCAUCGAGGACUACCAUUGGAUCUACAUUUUCCAAACCGUAAGUUCACAGUCCUCUUUACUUUUGUUUAUUCGGGGGCCCUCUUGUUAUUGUAAAUUAAAUUAAAUAUUUUGGCUUACUGUAUUUCAGUAUGUAUAAAUUUAUUUAGCUUUUACGCUAUAAAAAUUAUUCACGUAUAACUCUAUAAAUAUUGUUUUAUAAGAAAAUAGAAUAUUACCCUUAAUAUUUCUUUUAUUUUCUUAUUAUAUUCAAAUAACCGUAAUUUCGUUUUAAAUGAAGAUUUUAGACUUUUAAACUCAUUUUGAAUAUGAAUUAUGUGUUUUGUACUUGUAUAUUACGUUUUAGCCAGUUUCAAAAUUUUUGAGAAAAAAGGACCAAAAUACCCCUAUGUGGCGAAAAUUUUAUUUUGAUUGUUUUUGAUCUAAAAUAGUGUAUAUUCUCUAAAAACUCGAUAUUUAACAACGAUUGCUCACAGGAAAGGAAAGAAACUGAUAUGUAAGCCUUACAGGGUUCCGGUUGGCAUUCCGGAUAAUGAGUGUCAAUUAGGACGUCGUGGCGAUUAUCAUGGGCCUGAGGGAGGUUCCGGGUCAUGACAGCAGGAAUACUAGUAGGUGGUGGAGGAAGUGGAGGAUGGGGAGGAGUCUCGGCCUGUUCAGCAGUAGGCGCUGGCUGAAAAGUGGAUGCAACUGAUUCCCCCUCUACUGGAUCUAGUUGACGAUGUUGGGAAUGACCUCUUCCCCUCCCAACCGAUCUAGUGAGAGGUGGGCAUUCACGUCGAGGAGGCAUGGUGAUCUAUAAAAAGAAGCAAAGCAAGUUUAAACAACCUUAAGUUCUAUAUGCAGAUGCAUGCAUGCAACUCAACUUAACCUAACUUAACUUGGGGCCACACUGACACUGUAAUUUUUAAAACAACUUUAAAUCCAAAAGCUUUGAUAUCAACUGAAUUGUCAUGACCCGAUACUCUCCUCGAGCCUGUGACAACCGCCGUAAUGUUCCUGAUAGACAUUCAUUACUCGGAAUGCCAACCGAAACCCUGCAAGGCUUUAAUAUCAGUUCUCUCACCUCCCCUGCGAGCAACGGUUGUUAAUAUCAUAUUUUAAAAGAUUAUAAGCUCUUUCCAAACCAAAACAAUAAAAAAAUAAUUUUUGUCUCACAGGGAUAUUUUGGUCAUUUUUCCCUAAAAAUUUCGAAACCAUCUAAAAAUGUAGUAUAGGAGUGAAAGAUACAUAUUUCAUAACCAAAAAUAAGUUUAGAUGUCUAAAACAUUAAUAUAAAGUAAAAUGAUAGCUAUUAGAAUAAAAUAAAAAUAUUAAAUAAAAUAUUCCAUUUUCUUAUGAAACAAUUCUUAUAGAGAUAUCCGUAAAUAAUUUUUGUAGUGUAAAAGCAAAAUAAAUUCGUACAUACAGUAACACAGUGAGCUAGAGUGUGUAAUUUAAUUUACAAUGACAUGUGGGCCCCCUUGAAUGACCAAAAGUAAUGAAGGCUGCGAACCUACAAUUUUUGAGGAUGCAAAUCCAACUAUAGCCUUCGUCAAAAUCAGCUAUCUACAGACUAUCCUGAGCCUGAAAUGGGUAGAAAGGAGGGUGGUGAGUUUAUAUAAACUCAGUGAGUAAACAAACAUCAUCUAAAAUAUAUAAAGCCGAGUAAAUGGAGACAACUUAAAAUAGUUCAUCGUACUAUGAUUCAUAACGUUUCAAACUCAUUUCAACUAAAUAAAAUAAUUUCAUUUCACUCAAAUAAUCAACAUGGCUUAUGAAUUUCUUAAAAAUUUGGCUCAUGCCAAAACUCAUUCUCGGGGAAACCUUGGCCUGAGCAUCUAACCGAGUCUGCCAAAGCUAUUAAAGAAAAGUUCAUAUACGCAUAAAACUCAUUUUUACGUUUAAAAGCAUAGUCGUUCCUUGGCGUUGGCUGAGUUCACUCUCACGUGGUGGUUUAGCGUGUAGUGAACUCUAAAGCUUUACCUCAGAGUUUACCGUUGUCACGACCCUUCGCGCCUCUCGUACCGAGGAAAAUAUAAUGGGGUUUACCGUUGUCACGACCCGAAACCUCCCCCGGGCCCAUGACAACCGCCGCGACGUCCCAAUUGACACUCAUUACCCGAAAUGCCAAUCAGAACCCCGCAAGGCUUACAUAUCAAUUUCUUGCCUUUUUUGUGAGUAAUCGUUUUUAAACAUUCCAUUUUAAACAAUUUCCAGUAGUUUUCUGCUCAAGUAAAUCAAAGGAUAAAAAUAUUUUAAAAGGAUUUUUAGAUACAUAUCACUAUUCAAAAUAUUGAUUAAAAUAUAGCAUUUUUUUAUAUAAAACAAUAUUUAUAGAAACACGUGUAAGAAAUCUUUUGUAACGUGUAAGUAAAAUAAAUUCACACAUACAAAAAUUUACAAAGUUAUAAUGUACAAUAAUGGUUACAAUGACAAGUGGCCCAAAAUACACCCAGUGUUNNNNNNNNNNNNNNNNNNNNNNNNNNNNNNNNNNNNNNNNNNNNNNNNNNNNNNNNNNNNNNNNNNNNNNNNNNNNNNNNNNNNNNNNNNNNNNNNNNNNNNNNNNNNNNNNNNNNNNNNNNNNNNNNNNNNNNNNNNNNNNNNNNNNNNNNNNNNNNNNNNNNNNNNNNNNNNNNNNNNNNNNNNNNNNNNNNNNNNNNNNNNNNNNNNNNNNNNNNNNNNNNNNNNNNNNNNNNNNNNNNNNNNNNNNNNNNNNNNNNNNNNNNNNNNNNNNNNNNNNNNNNNNNNNNNNNNNNNNNNNNNNNNNNNNNNNNNNNNNNNNNNNNNNNNNNNNNNNNNNNNNNNNNNNNNNNNNNNNNNNNNNNNNNNNNNNNNNNNNNNNNNNNNNNNNNNNNNNNNNNNNNNNNNNNNNNNNNNNNNNNNNNNNNNNNNNNNNNNNNNNNNNNNNNNNNNNNNNNNNNNNNNNNNNNNNNNNNNNNNNNNNNNNNNNNNNNNNNNNNNNNNNNNNNNNNNNNNNNNNNNNNNNNNNNNNNNNNNNNNNNNNNNNNNNNNNNNNNNNNNNNNNNNNNNNNNNNNNNNNNNNNNNNNNNNNNNNNNNNNNNNNNNNNNNNNNNNNNNNNNNNNNNNNNNNNNNNNNNNNNNNNNNNNNNNNNNNNNNNNNNNNNNNNNNNNNNNNNNNNNNNNNNNNNNNNNNNNNNNNNNNNNNNNNNNNNNNNNNNNNNNNNNNNNNNNNNNNNNNNNNNNNNNNNNNNNNNNNNNNNNNNNNNNNNNNNNNNNNNNNNNNNNNNNNNNNNNNNNNNNNNNNNNNNNNNNNNNNNNNNNNNNNNNNNNNNNNNNNNNNNNNNNNNNNNNNNNNNNNNNNNNNNNNNNNNNNNNNNNNNNNNNNNNNNNNNNNNNNNNNNNNNNNNNNNNNNNNNNNNNNNNNNNNNNNNNNNNNNNNNNNNNNNNNNNNNNNNNNNNNNNNNNNNNNNNNNNNNNNNNNNNNNNNNNNNNNNNNNNNNNNNNNNNNNNNNNNNNNNNNNNNNNNNNNNNNNNNNNNNNNNNNNNNNNNNNNNNNNNNNNNNNNNNNNNNNNNNNNNNNNNNNNNNNNNNNNNNNNNNNNNNNNNNNNNNNNNNNNNNNNNNNNNNNNNNNNNNNNNNNNNNNNNNNNNNNNNNNNNNNNNNNNNNNNNNNNNNNNNNNNNNNNNNNNNNNNNNNNNNNNNNNNNNNNNNNNNNNNNNNNNNNNNNNNNNNNNNNNNNNNNNNNNNNNNNNNNNNNNNNNNNNNNNNNNNNNNNNNNNNNNNNNNNNNNNNNNNNNNNNNNNNNNNNNNNNNNNNNNNNNNNNNNNNNNNNNNNNNNNNNNNNNNNNNNNNNNNNNNNNNNNNNNNNNNNNNNNNNNNNNNNNNNNNNNNNNNNNNNNNNNNNNNNNNNNNNNNNNNNNNNNNNNNNNNNNNNNNNNNNNNNNNNNNNNNNNNNNNNNNNNNNNNNNNNNNNNNNNNNNNNNNNNNNNNNNNNNNNNNNNNNNNNNNNNNNNNNNNNNNNNNNNNNNNNNNNNNNNNNNNNNNNNNNNNNNNNNNNNNNNNNNNNNNNNNNNNNNNNNNNNNNNNNNNNNNNNNNNNNNNNNNNNNNNNNNNNNNNNNNNNNNNNNNNNNNNNNNNNNNNNNNNNNNNNNNNNNNNNNNNNNNNNNNNNNNNNNNNNNNNNNNNNNNNNNNNNNNNNNNNNNNNNNNNNNNNNNNNNNNNNNNNNNNNNNNNNNNNNNNNNNNNNNNNNNNNNNNNNNNNNNNNNNNNNNNNNNNNNNNNNNNNNNNNNNNNNNNNNNNNNNNNNNNNNNNNNNNNNNNNNNNNNNNNNNNNNNNNNNNNNNNNNNNNNNNNNNNNNNNNNNNNNNNNNNNNNNNNNNNNNNNNNNNNNNNNNNNNNNNNNNNNNNNNNNNNNNNNNNNNNNNNNNNNNNNNNNNNNNNNNNNNNNNNNNNNNNNNNNNNNNNNNNNNNNNNNNNNNNNNNNNNNNNNNNNNNNNNCUUACACUCCAAAAAUCACCAAAAUUAAACUUUUUCACUUCCUAUCGUUAAAUUAUACUCCAAAUAGUUAAUCUUGGUCAAAAAUUUCACUCCAUGAUCAAAUUAUUAUCUUAGGUGGCAAAAUGACGAUUUUGCCCCUAAACAUCAAAAUUUUCAAUUUUACCCCUAAUGAGCCCUCGAACUCCGAACAAUCAUUUUGAAUAAUUCCUUCACUAUAAAAUAUUCAAUUUCAUCCUACGAUUCCUAUUUGAACUAGUUCAAGGUUAAAUCAACUCAAGUGUACGGGUUAGGUACAAUACAGGGUUUCGUCUAUUCUUAGAUGCUUUCCUAGCAUAAUAACAUGUUACUCAGUGCAUGUAUGUCAUGACAUGUGUUUAUAGGGUCGGGUUUUACAACCGUGCCCUUCUAAUAGGAUGGUCUAUAGAAACUAGCCCACUGCAGUAAGCUAAUCGAUAUCCUACCAAAUCAAUAAAAGUUUUGAUAAUAUGACAUGGCAAUUAUAUUACACUCCAGCUUGUUAAGGCAAAACAAAUAGUUCAUACAAUUUCAACACAAUUUCCAAUUCAGCCAUUCAUGCCAAUAUCACCAUAAGCCAUUCAAUUCAAACCAUAAAUUUACAACACAAACAAAUAGUCUCCAAUUACUCAUUUUCUAAAAUCAUCAUUCAAUUUUAAAAUGAUUUAUAAAACUCAUCUCAUUUAAUCACAUUUUACUUAUAAAACAUAAGGAUUUACCAUUUAAACUCAUUUUUCUAUAAAAUCACAAAAAUGAAUAAAAACUACUUUAGAUAAUUAAGACGAUAAUAAGAUUACUCACGAUAUCGGGAGUUCGAAAUACUCCUAUUCUUGGUCCUCUGGCAUAAUGUCUUUACCCUUGUUAGAAGACUCACCACCUAUACACAAUACACUACAAAUAAUUCAAUAUAUUGUGUCAUGUCAUUAUAAAUCUAUUUCAAGCUUUAUAUGAAUGCAUGAGGUUGUUUGGAUAGUCACUUAAAGACGGUGUUACACGUUGGUUCAAUUAUGAUCGAAAUGGAUCGGUUUUCUACCUAAUUCGAACUCUCCACCUUUGAUUUAACCAAAACAUCCUAAUUGACUCCAAUUAUAUUCAUCACACUUCCAAUGUCCCAAAAUACACCAAAACGCCUCAAUGAGCUUGACUUUCUCAUUGUUAUUCAACUUAUUUACUAAAAGAACUAUACUUUAAAAUUACCAUUUUCGAUUUCCAUCACCACCAUUCAUUAAAUUCUAACUAAAUAACACAAGAUGUCACAAGAAUCAUCAUCACUAGGUUCCUUAUGAAAUUCGGCCAUGGGUGGGUGCAUAAACACUAUGAUUUUUCAUACUUGAUUUUUUUUACACCAUAAAUCAUUAGUUCCUAACCAAAUCACUUGAAAUAAAAUCAAAUCCACCAACAACAUACCAUAAGCAAGAUUCCGCCCAUGAGGGUGAUGGAAGAACAUGAAUUUUUCUUAUUUGCUUUUCAUGCUACACAUCACCAACCAACUAAAAACACUAGAAUAACAUGUUUUCCAACUAAAUUCAUCAUCAAAUCUUCUCUCCCUAGGUUCAGCCAACAAGGGAUCCAUCAUGAAAUCAUGAAUUUCAAUCAUGGAAAAUGAGAAAGAAUGCUUAGGAAAGAUAGAUCUCAAGCUAAAUUUGAAAAAUCUUACCUUUUGUCACUUGAUUCGUUGAAAUUCCACAAUUUUCUCUUGAAUUUUCUAGCUAGGGUUUUGUUCUUUCUUUCUUUCCUCUUUUCCUUGGUGAGGCCAAACAUAUGGGAGUGAAAUGGGAGAGUCAUGUGUUGAUUUUUAACGUAAAUUAUAAAGAAAUGGAAGCUUGCCACUUGCCACCAUUCCAUUGGUCCAUGUUUAACACUUAACAACNNNNNNNNNNNNNNNNNNNNNNNNNNNNNNNNNNNNNNNNNNNNNNNNNNNNNNNNNNNNNNNNNNNNNNNNNNNNNNNNNNNNNNNNNNNNNNNNNNNNNNNNNNNNNNNNNNNNNNNNNNNNNNNNNNNNNNNNNNNNNNNNNNUCCUUGGUGAGGCCGAACAUAUGGGAGUGAAAUGGGAGAGUCAUGUGCUGAUUUUUAAUGUAAAUUAUAAAGAAAUGAAAGCUUGCCACUUGUCACCAUUCCAUUGGUCCAUGUUUAACACUUAACAACUAAGCUUUCUUUCACCACCACAUAAAAUAUCUCAAUUAUCCAUAAUAUAAAAUGUUAAUGGAUGAAAUCCUUAGGCAUGACAAGUGUUGGGUGGUGUAAAAUUCCAAUUUUGCCCUUGGGUGGCAAAAUGACCAUUUUGCCCCUACGUCAUGAAAAUUCUAAUUUGACUCCAAAUCAAUCCUUGAACUCCCAAUCACCAUAUUAAGUCAUUUUGGGUUUUUAAAAUUCUCAAUUUCAUCUUAAAAUCUCUAUUUAGACUAGUUCGAGGCUUAAUUCAGCUUAGUUGUACCACUAGGUUCACUACCAAUUUUUAACGAUUUUUUUCGGGGCUUUCCAAGUGUGCAAACAUAUUAUCAAGCACAUGAAUGACAUGAAAAAUAUUUUAUAGAGUUGGGCUUGACAAAUGCUGUUAGUUUUUCUACUAUUCAAAAUUUGAAAAGUUCCCUCUAAACUUGGUUAUUUUCUUGGGCGAUUUUUCUUCUUUCUUUAUUCCCUGGUAAACACAUUCUUUUCAUUAUUUUAUUUCUUCUUCAUUUAACUGACUAAGUCUUAUUAUUUAAGAUGACAGAACACUCUUAGUUGACUAAGAUUCUCUUUAAUGGACUAAAUGCCUUCUGUUUUAUGUGUAGGAGUCAAAACUUUUUUUACAACUCUUACAUAUUAAUCAUCCCCAAGUUCCUUCUAAUCUCACAAAAUCUAUCUUUAUUUAGAGUUUUGGUAAAGAUGUCAGCUAAUUGAUGCAAAGUAUUCACAAAUUCAAUUUUAAUAUCACCUUUCACUGCAUGGUCUUUAACAAAAUGAUGCCUAUUCUCAAUGUGCUUAGUCUUAGAAUGCUGCACAAAAUUUUUUGAAAUGUUAAUUGCACUUGUAUUGUCACAAUAUAUUUGUAUAUUAUGUACUGUUAUUCCAAAAUCUCUUAGUUGUUGUUUUAUCCACAAAAUCUGAGCACAACAACUACCUAAGGAAAUAUACUCUACUUCAAUUGUAGAAAGUGCUACAAAAUUUUGUUUCUUACUUAACCAGGAUACUAGCAUACUUCUUAGAAAUUGGCAUGUUCCACUAGUGCUCAUUCUAUCGAUUUUGCUUCCUGCAAAGUCUACAUCCGAAUAGCCUACAAGAUUAAAUAAUGAUUCUCUAAAGUACCAUAUUCCUAAGGUUUUGUUUUUAAGAGGUAUCUAAAAAUUCUAUUAAUAGCAGUUAAGUGUGAUUAUUUGGGCUAUGGCUGAAAUCUAGCACACAAACACACACUAAACUGAAUAUUUGGUCUGCUUUCGUUAAGUAGAGUAAUGAUCCAAUCAUACCUCUAUACAACUUUUGAUCAACAAUUUUUCCUUUCUCAUCAGCAUCAAGUCUGGUCGAAGGACUCAUUGGUGUGCCAAUUGAUUUAAGCUUUAGCAUAUCAAACUUUUUGAUCAUGUCUUGAGUGUAUCUUUCUUGGUUGAUGAAGAUUCCUUUUUCACUUUGUUUGAUUUGAAGGCCAAGAAUGUACUUCAUCUCACCCAUCAUGCUCAUUUCAAAUUCCCCCUGUAUCUCUUUACUAAAAUUCUUGCAUAAAGCCUCAUUAGUUGCACCAAACACAAUGUCAUCCACAUAAAUUUGAACAACAAUUAAAUCAUUUAGGUAUCUUUUGAUAAACAAUAUUGUAUCAAUACUACCUUUAACAUAACCUUUUUCAACCAAAAAUUUUGAAAGCCUCUCAUACCAAGCUCUAAGAGCUUGUUUCAAUCCAUAUAAGGCUUUAUGAAGUUUGAAAACAUGAUCUGGUUUUUCAAAGUCCUCAAAACUGGAGGGUUGCUUAACAUAAACUUCUUAUUGGAUGAAACCAUGUAAGAAUGAACUAUUUACAUCCAUUUGGAAUAGUUUGAAGUUCAUAAAGCAAGCAAAUGCAAGUAGUAACCUUAUAGCUUUUAUCCUAGCAACUGGGGCAAAGGUUUCAUCAUAGUCUAUUCCUUCCUCUUGAUUGUAUCCUUGAGCUACCAACCUAGCUUUAUUUCUAACUACAUUCCCUCACUCAUCUACCUUAUUUCUAAACACCCAUUUAGUGCCAACAAUAGGGUGGUUUAAUGGUCUUGAAACUUGUAAAACCCGACCCUAUAAACACAUGUCAUGACAUACAUGCACUGAGCAGCAUGUUAGUACGCUAGGAAAGUCCCUAAGAAUAGACGAAACCCAGUAUUGUACCUAACGGUACACUUGAGUUGAUUUAACCUCGAACUAGUUCAAAUAAGAAUCGUAGGAUGAAAUUUAAUAUUUUACAGUCCAGGAAUGACUAAAAAUGAUUGUUCAGAGUUCGAGGGUUCAUUUGGGGAAAAAUUGAAAAAUUUGAUGUUUAGGGGCAAAAUCGUAAUUUUACCACCCGCGGACAAAAUUUGAGAUUUUGAGAGAAUUUAGAUCAAAUUUGACAAAUUGGAGAAUGGUAUGAAUAUAAGGGAUGAAAAAAAUAUGUCUAUGGGCAGUUUUUCAGUUUUUGGAGAAAAAAUGUAAUUUGACUUUUACGGGGGCAAAAGUGUAAAUUUCAAAAAUUACUCCACCAAGACUUUGGAUAAGUCUGAGAAUUUUAUCUAAGUUAUGGAUAUGUGGGACAAGUGUAUCGUGAAAGUUUAGACACAAAUGGAUGGCUAGAAUUUAAGGAAUUAAUAAAACAUUAAAAAAAUGAAUAAAAUAAUAUUAUAUUAUUUUAGCCUUUAAAAAGGUCAAAAUUCCAGAAUUCUCAUCUUCUUCAAGCCAUCCAAACCAGGAGAGAAAAGGGGGAAAAGAAAUAAGAACCCUAGCUGAAAAAUUUGGGGAAAAUCUAGAGAAAUCAAGAAAUCAAGCAUUAAAAAGGUAAAUUUCAUUGAUUUUCCUUGUAAUUUUCACUACCCAUGCAUUUUUUCUCAUUUUCAUGCAAAAUUAGAAAGUGGGUAUGGACACCCAUACUGGCCAAACCUCCAUGGAUGAGUUUUGAGCUUCCGUUUUGGUUGAUUUUAAUUGAAUUAAGUGAUUUUAUUUAGGUUAUAUUGUAAUAUAGCAAAAAUAAGCUAGAGAAAUAAUUUUCUCCCAUUAAAACCCAUUAUGCCGAAUUUUCCAAGGAGGAAAGUGAGCUGAUUUUGAUGAUUUUAGAAGGUUAUUGACUGAUAUUUAAUGGUUAGAAAUGUUAGAGAGAAAAUGGAAAAAUUUAGAGCUAAAAUGGAGCGCGUUAGCAAUUUAUCGAGUAAAGUGUCAAAAAUAGGUUAAUACCACGUUUAAGCCGUUUUAGGCUAUUGCAUUUCAUACCAUGCAUUAGUAUAGGAUUUAAGUUAGUUAUAUAGUGAUUUAGCAUCAAUGUGGUGAAUUGUGUAAAUUUUGCAAUGUGUCUAGGAGAAGAGCCUUCCGGUAAAGGCAAGGAAGUCGUACUCGACAAACAGUGAUCGGGGCACCUAGAAAGCAUUUAGUUUGUACAAACGGUGAGUAAACCUAUUAUUAUUGUAAAUUAUCUAGAGUUUAUUUUUAAAUGCUGUUUAUGUAUUUUAUGAAACGAAAAUGAGAUUAAAAUGGGACUUUUGAUGUUUAAGAAAUAAGUGUGACAAAUAAAUAUAUUGUGUUGAUUAUCUGAAAUAAGAAACUUUUGAUUAUGAAAUUGAGUAAAUGGGAGGCUGCCAAUUGUCUUAAAAAAUAAAUUUUCCUAUGAAUGGCUUAUGAUAUAUGAGUAUAUGUGGCUAUAUUUUAUAAUUGCAUUGGAAAUUUAUGUAAGCUGUCUUUUACUAUGCAAGCUGGGUAAAUAAAUAAAAGCCACGUUAUACUGUCGAAAUUUUAUUAAAAUUGGUGGGUUUAGUCACUGCAGUGACGGGUUUCCAUGGACUGCCUAUUAGAGGGGCACUGUAAACCUGGUUAUAUAGUUACUCCUGUUGUAGAGGCGAUGAGGGUAACUCCCGGGGUAGUGUUAGAGCUCACUUCAUGUCGAACCCCCGUGUGAAUUUGUAACUCGACCAAUGCCAAGGAACGACUUGUUUUCAAAACUAACAUGUGUUUAACAUGUAAAUAUCUUAACAACCUUGGCGGACUCGGUUUGAUGCCUCGGCCAAGGUAUCUCCGAGGAUUAGUUUUUGGCUUAAGCCCUGUUUCUAAUAAAAGUCAUAAGCCUUAACAACUGUUUUGGUAAAUUACAAAUAUUUUAUGGUUUAAGAAAUAAAUUGAAAACCUUAUGAAAUGGUUUGUGAUUUGUCAUUUAAACUUGCCUCCAUUUUACUCGCCUUUAGAUAUUUAUAAUAAUGUUUGUUUACUCAUUGGGAUUACAAAAUCUCACCCACCUCCUUUCCAAAUAUUUCAAGCCUAUGGUAGCUUAUAGAUACCCGAUUUUGUCGAGGAUUUCAGUUGACCCCUCUAUCUCACAGACACUAGGUUACUAUCACCAACACUUGGUAUAUUUAUGGGCCACUUGUCAUUGUAAUAAUUAUUGUACAUUAUAACUUUGUAAAUUAUUGUAUGCAUGAAUUUAUUUUAAUUACACGUGUUUCUAUAAAUAUUGUUUUAUAUAAAAAUGUUAUAUUUUAAUCAAUAUUUUGAAUAAUAAUAUUUGUCUAUAAAUCCUUUAAAAAAAUAUUUUGUCUUUUGAUUUACUUGAGCUGGAAAUGACUGGUAAUUGUUUAAAAUGGAAUGUUUAACAACGAUUGCUCAUAGGAAAGGCAAGAAACUGAUACGUAAGCCUUGCGGGGUUCUGAUUGGCAUUCUGGGUAAUGAGUGUAAAUCAGGACGUCGUGGCUAUUGUCAUGGGCCUGAGGGAGGUUCUGGGUCGUGACAAAACUAAUGUCCAUACACAGUUUCUUUUGAAUUGAUCAAGUUCCUCUUGCAUUGCUAUUAUCUAGCUUUCCUCUUUUUUAGCUUCUUCAAAACUUUUAGGUUCUAUUUGUGAAAUGAAAGCUGAAAACUCACAAGUCUCUCUUGUUGCUCUCCUAGUUUUAACACCUUGAGAAAUAUCACCUAUGAUUUGUUCUUAUGGGUGGUCUUUUGCAUAUCUCCAAUUCCUUGGAAGGUCAUUAUGCUGAUUUCAGUUAUUUGCAGGGUUUCAUUUCUCUUUCUUGGGAAUUUUCUUCACUGUUUUUCUCAUCAUCUAAACUUAUUUCUUCCAUUUGUUUUUCAAUAUCAUCCAUAUCAUAUUCAUCAUCAGAAAUUUCCUUUUACAAGAUAUUGGAUUUAUCAAAAACUACAUGGAUGGAUUCUUCAAUCGUUAAAGAUCUUUUGUGGAAGACUCUAUAGGCUUUUGAGUUUAAUGCAUGUCCUAAAAAUAUAGCUUCAUCACUCUUUGCAUCAAAACUUUCCUAAAGGCUAUUUACCAUUGUUUAAUACAAAACACUUACAGCCAAAGCUCCUAAGGUGAGAGAUAUUUGGUUUCUUACCUUUGUAAAGUUCAUAUGGAGUCUUUGAUAUCAUGGCUUUUAUAGACACUCUAUUAAGAAUAUAAGCUGCUGUGUUAACAGCUUCUGUCCAAAAAUAUUUAGGUAGAUUAUUCUCACACAGCAUAGUUCAAACCAUUUUUUUCAAAGUUUGAUUUUUUCUUUCUACAACUCUAUUUUGCUGGGGUGUUCUAGGUGUAGAAAAAUAAUGAUCCAACCCCUUUUCAUUACAAAAAUUCUCAAAUUCAUCUCCUUCAAACCCACCUCUAUGAUCACUCCUAAUACUAACUAUAACUAGUCCUUUUUCAUUUUCAACCUUCCUACAAUGACUUAUGAAUGCUGGUAGAGCAUCAUUUUUAUGAGCAAGGAAAUAUACCCAAGUGUAUCUAGAGUAGUCAUCAACUAUUACAAAGCCAUAAGAUUUUCGUUCUAGACUAGUUGUAUUUAUUGGACCAAAUAGAUCAAUGUGCAACAAUUCAAGAGGUCUAAAUGUGAAGACAAAUUUCUUAGUUUAAAAGAUGUUCUAGUUUGUUUUCCUAGUUGGCAAUCACCACAUAUCUUAUCAUUUUCAAACUUAAGAUCCGACAGUCCAACAAGUAAAUUUUUUCUAAUCAACUUUGACAUGUUAUGCAUGCUCACAUGUCCUAAUCUCUUAUGCCAUAACUAGCUAUCAUUUUCAGUAUUUGCUACAAGACAUAUUUCACAAUCCAUUUCAAGAUCCUCAAGAAAUACAACAUACAUAUUCUUUAAUCUUCUUCCAAUAAAUGAGACUUUAUUAGUGCUUAUGUCUAUCACUUCACAUCUGGUUGAGUCAAAACAUACCUUAAAUCCUUUAUCACAUAACUAACUAAUGCUCAAUAAAUUAUGUUUCAAACCUUUAACCAACAACAUAUGAUUAAUUUGAGUUUGAGAGUUUUUACCAACCGUUCCUAUGCCAUGAAUUUUACCUUUUGAAUCAUCACCAAAGGAUACAGUUCCUCCCUUUUUCUUGUCUAGCUGUGCAAAUAGCAUUUCAUUUUCUGUCAUGUGCCUUGAGCAGCCACUGUCCAUAUACCAAGGCUGCUUCUUCUUUAGUUGAGCUCUUGAACAUGUAUCUUUUGAGUGUAGCUCAACCUAUAAAACAAAUUCUCAAUUUUUCUUAAUAGGCACCCAUACUUUGAUGGGUCCUUGAAGGUUAGUUGCAACAUAGGAUCCUUUUGGAACCCAAAUCAUUUUUUUUCUGUGUGUUUCUUCUUCUAUAGCAGUUAUAAGAUAAAUGACCAAGUUUAUCACAAACAUAACAUAUAGAAGAGAAAUCAUUAGCAUUUCUUCUUAAAUUUGUGCUCUUUCUUAAUGAUUUUUUUCUUAAACUCUUAAGUACAGUAUUUUCAUUAAUUGCUUUUUGUAAAGCUUCAGUUUUAUUGUCCAGCUCCAAUUUCAUAACUUCAAAAUCUUUUUUUGAAUGUUCUAAUUCAGUUUGAAGCAAAUUUCUUUACUCAAAAAUAAAGUUGAAAUCAUGUUUUAUCUUUUCUAAAUCAAUCUCAAGAGAUGCAGUCUUUCUUUUUAAAGCUUUAUAUUUUGAUGCAAGUUUUUCAAACUCAUCAUAAAGACAUUCACAUUCUUCUUGAAGCUCAUUAAGUGAAAUAUCACAAGGAGAUGAAGAUACCUCAUAUUCAUCUUUUCUAGCCAUUAGACAUAAAUUUGCUUGUUCUACAACUUAAUUUUCUUCAACAUUUGAGCUUGAAGUAUCAUUGUCAGACCAUGUUGCAACCACCAUUGCUUUCUUCGAUUUUCUAUUUUUCUUUGGCUUGUCUUCCUUUUGCAUAUUUGUUUCUCCAUAUAACUCUUCUAAUUUUUGCCAAAUUUCCUUGGCACUUUUGCACAUGGACACUUUAUCAUAUUGUCUAUAAUCAAGUGCACAAAUGAGAGUGUGCAUGGCCUUAGAGUUGAUUUGUGCUCUCUUCAUUUCAGCUUUUGUCCAUUUAUUUCUAUCCUUAGGAGUUUUUUUACCAUUGACUAAAUUUUUAAUCAUUGGAAUGAAAGGACCAUCAGUAAUUAUAUCCUACAUCUCAUAGUCAUAAGCCCUGACAUAAAUUGACAUUCUAAUACUCCAAUAUGGAUAGUUAGAGCCAUCAAAUAGAGGUGGUUAUUUUAUGGAUUGUCCCUUAGCAACUAUUGAUUUUUGAAGAGCCAUUUAGAUCUUCCCAAAGGUGUUAGACCUUAAUAAUAGGGGUUAGGCUCUGAUACCACUUGUUGGUCCCAAAUAAAUGUGCUAGGGGGUGGGUGAAUGGCACUUUUUAGCUCUUAGCAAGAUUAGGAACUAAUUUAAAAAGAAAUGAAAAUAAAAACAAAGUUGACAAUGUGCAGGAAUUUAGAGUGGUUCGGUCCAAGACCUACAUCCACUACCUUGAUUAUCCAACCAAAGAUUUUUCAAACUAAUCCACUAUGAACGAUGAAAUUCACAAGCUUUCACCAAGAUUUACAAUGGCUUUUACCAGGCUUAGCCAAAACUUUUCACACUAGUUUUUACCAGGAUCAACUAAAACCCGAAGAGGUUUUUCAAAGGCUCAACCACAACCUUUCAUAAUGGUUUUUCACAGGCUUAACCAAAACCCAAAGUGGUUUUUCAAAGGCUCAACCACAACCUACAACAAUGGUUUUUCACGAGAUCAACCAAAACCCAACAACUAACUUUUCAACCCUAAGUUAAAACCUCUGGUCAAUCAAUCAAUCCUAACUUGAAUUAAUCCCUUAAAGUGACUUGCUCACUCUAAGAAUACAAAGAGAAAAGAGAUGAAAGUGUACCUAUGAUCACAAGGUUGAUCUAAGUGGUACAAAUGAAGUGCAGAUCACUAUUACAAAGAUGGGAGUUGAGUGUAGUAGAUGAGCAGUAAGUGUUUUCUGGUUUUUUAGCUCUCUUUGUGUUUUUGGAAACCUUCAAUGCAUUUCUAGCCGUUGAAACCCUCUUUUAUACUUGGAUAAUUAGCUCUAAAGUGAGUUAGAUAGUUUUUGACUGUUGGAAAUAGUUUGGGUAGCAAUUCUAGCCUUUAAUUUGUGUUUUAGUGUAAGAUUCAAAUUUGCAAACAGAAUGCUCUUAGUCGACUAAUCGAUAUCUUAGUCGACUAAGUUGUCUUUGUUUUUUGUUUCCAGUUUCUGUCAAUAAGCACUUAGUCGACUAACCCAUUCCUUUGUUGACUAAGUUGGUUCUAUUUCUCAACACUCUUAAACCCGCCAUUCUUCCAAUUUGAAUUUUAGUUGACUAACUCUUCAUUAAUCUGCUAAAGGGCUUCUGUCUUGUUGAUCAAUUGUGACUUCCUUACUCUUAUUCUCUUUAUAUGUGCAUUUGAAUGAAUGAUUUAUUAUUUGUACACAAUUUUUGUCCUGCACACUCAAGUAGAGAUAUUAGACACAAAUGAAUGGGAAUGUUUUAUUAUCAUAAAAAACAAAUGGCGCCAACAGAUAGAUCGAGAAAUCUAUCGAUAGAUGAUGACUGUUAGAGCUUGGAACAGUGUUCUAAAUGGCUAUUGUCACAUUUAAUUCACCCUCAACUGCCUUUGAAGCUUCACUAACUAUAAAUUCAAGCUCCUGUAACAUUUAUAAAGGUUGGGAGACUUUGAAACAUAGCUCAAAAAGAUAAUAACUUAGCAAAAUCAUUCAAUACUCUUUGUACUCUUUUUUUACCUUAUAAGUCUUCUAUUGUAGCAGUUAUUGAGCCUUCAUUGCUUGUUCUUUCCCUCACCAAAUAUUGUAUCUAACUUGUUCUUCAGCCUUUAAGAGGCAUUCCAUCUAUAUUUAUGUUCCUCUCAUUAUAUUCACUUAAGUGGUUAUACCAUAACCCACAUAAAAGGUAGAGUGAUUGUGCAGUAACUUUAAAAAUACAUUGUAUUGAAAGGUUGUGCUUGAUCCACAAAAGGUAUUGCGUUGAAUUCUAAUUCAGUAAUGGAUAUUAAAUGCUUUAGUGAAUUUAAGGGAGAAUAUGUAGGUAAGGAAAUUGAACCUCUAUAAAAACUAUUGUGUUGAUUUUUUCUCUUUUUCUUUACUCCUUUAAAUUGAUUUGCACUUCCAACUUCUCUUACUUUUCAAAAAGCAAUUGUCCUGCUCAUUUUCAAAUUGGGAUUUGGAUCAAGGGAAUUCUAUUUUCUCAAAAAAAGAAAAGGAAUCAUCAAAAUUUUAAAAACAUUCCAAUUCACCCUCUCUUGGAAUUACUCACAUUGAGCUUAUUGCACUAACAUAAUUUAUAAAUUUUAAUUUAUAAGCAAAUAAUAACAAAGACAAAAAUAAUUAUAGAAAAAAAUAACAAUUGAAAAACCUUGACGUAAACAUGUAAGAAUUAAUGUAAAAAAUAAUAAAGGUGGAAUAAGCAUUGUCAAAAAAUUGACAUAAAUAUGUGAGAUUUAACGUAACAAGUCAAUUAAGUCAAAAUAAACAUAAUUUUUGUGAAAAUUAAACUUGUAAAUUUAUAUUAUCGAGUUAAAAGUAUUUAACAAUUUAUAAAUUUUAAUUUAAAAAAGGAUAAUAAUACAGAUAAAAAUAAUUAUGGUGAAAACUAGCAUCUGAAAAACAUUGACAUACACUUGUAAGAGCAAAUGUAAAAAAUUAUACAGGUGGAACAAGUGUUGCUGAAAUAUUGAUGUAAACGUGUGAGAUUUAUUGUAACAAGUCAAUUAAGUCAAAAUCAAUAUAAUUUUUGAGAAAAUUAAGCAUUUAAAUUUAUAUGAUUAAGGUAAAAAUAUUUAACAGUUUAUAAAUUUUAAUUUACAAAUUAAUAAUCAUAAGGAUAAAAAUAAUUAUACUAAAAGUUAGUAAUUGAAAAAUCUUGAUGUAAACCUGUUAGAAAUAAUGUAAAAAUUAUAAAAGUGGAAGAAGGAUUGUCAAAAUAUUGAUGUAAAUGUGUGAAAUUUAAUAUAACAAGUUAAUUAAGUCAAAUAAACAUAAUUUGUUGGGAAAUUAAACACUUAAGCUUAUAUACUCGAGUUUAAAUACUUAUAAGUUUACAAUUUUAAUUUAUAAAAGGAUAAUAAUAAUGAGAAAUUAUAAUAAAAAAUAUCAUGUCACGACCCAAAUUUUCGAGCCAUGACCGACGCAUGGGCCUAAUGGACGUAGCCCACUAAGCCCAAGCAAGCCUAUCUAUAUGUCCUGUUUAUCAUUCCAUCCAAGUGGCUAAAGUUACAUUUCAUAAUUCCAAUUUGAAAUAUUGAUAACGAUUGCCAACUCGUCGUGGCAUUACCAAUCAAAAUAUACAUAUCAAUGUAUUGUGAUAACACAUGAACCAUUAUAUGGCACACUUUCACAAGAUAGAAACAUUCACCAAAGGCUUGUUCCCUAGGUAGAUUUUUAAGAAAAAGUUGGAUAAAAUCAUUCAAACGUUUUGUGCAAAUACAUUCCCAAAACAUAUUUGAAAUGCAAGUUCACUCACCGGUAUUCGUUAAACCUUUACUCAACUCCAACUUCCUCUAAUGGUCCAAAUGGGGCGGUGGGGCUUCGUUAGAGCCUAUCAUCACAUUGGCAUCACAAUUAACUCAAUUCAUACAACUAUAAAUUCUAAAAGCUAUCUUCUAACUAGCAUCUAAUUCUCAUUAAGUAGCUAUCUAUUUUCACUAUCCUAAUCACUCUAAAGUGAAUGAACAACCUCAACUACAAAAUACUCACAAGUCUAAUCACUAGCCAUUCUCAACAAAAAAAAAAAUCAACUCUAAUUUACUACUCACCUUUGCAGCUUUGUAAAUUUCAAAUUCUCUUCAAUAAUUUUCAAGCUAUUAUAGAAACUCCCUCUUUCUCUCUCUAAAACACCUAGCUACGGAGAGAGAGUAUGGAAGUAAGAAUUUUCAAGGGUUUUAAAAUGAGAGAGUGAAAGAACACAAAGGUUUUAUGAAAAGGUGCGCAAAAGCAUGAAGAUUGAAGCUAACUUGUGGGAAGUUAUGAAGGUUUCAAACAAGCUUCCAUGGAGGAUGAAAGCAAUGUGAGAUGGGAGGAAGAAGAUGAAGAAGAAGCUGCUGGAAGAAAAUGAUAUUUAUAGCUCAUGCUUAUCCAACUCAACUUAAAUUACGAAAAUGCCCUUAAAAAGUUAGCUUGUUCUCCUCCAAUCCUUUAUGAAAUCUUUUUACUCGUUUAACACAAAAACAAAGUCCAUAAUGGUCUAAAAAUGCUCUGGUUCACAAAAACUUAAAAAUUUUGACUCAAGAUGAAAAAUGAGCACUUUGCCCCUACCAUGGAAAUCAUCAUCAUUUUUUAUUUCCUUCAUCAUUUUACCCAUAUUUUCAUCAUUCAUUUAUGCCUUAGGUCUACUUAGGCCUUAAUAUUGGUUAAAAACUUACUUUUAGGGGCUCACUAAGGAAUUGACGAAAUUACCCUAAAUCAGGGAUAUCGCAUCUACUUCUAGCUACAAGUCUAUAAAGGUCAAGGUCUCACAUUCUCCCCCACUUAAAGAAAUUCGAUCCCCGAAUUUAGAUUCAACUAUAAGGUAGCGUACCUCUAAGCAUCAAAGAGGUGUGGAUAUUUUAUCCGCAUGUCCUCCUCAGCUUCCCACGUUACCUCUUCACUGGUGUGGUUUCGCCAUAACACUUUCACUAAGGCUACAUCCUUUGAACAGAGCUUUUUAACUUGCUUAUCAAGAAUAAGCACUAGUUGCUCCUCAUAGGUUAGAUCGUCUUGCAACUGGAUUGUUUCAUACCACAUUACAUGAGAUGGAUUUGGGUUAUAUUUCCUAAGCAUUGACACAUGGAAUACGGGGUAAAUAUUCAAGAGGUCUGGUGGUAGCGCCAAGCGAUAAGCCACUGCUCCAUCCCUUUCUAAGAUCUCGAAGGGCCCUAUAUACUCAAGACUUAAUUUUCCUUUCUUGUCGAACCUCAUUACCCCUUUUGUUGGUGAGACCUUCAAAAAUAAAUGAUCCCCCACCUGAAACUCCAAGUCUCUCUGUCUGUUAUCAGCAUAUGAUUUUUGUCUACUUUGUUCUAUUAGCAUACUCUGUCAAAUCAUGCUUAUUUUCUCGAUGGCAUCCUGUACCAGUUUUGGCCCCAAAAGUUUUCUUUCUCCCACCUCUAGCCAUCCAAUAGGUGACUUGCACCUCCAUCCAUAUAAUGCUUCAAAUGGUGCCAUUUAGAUGCUAGCUUGGAAACUAUUGUUGUAAGCAAACUCCACUAAGGGUAGAUACCGAUCCCAUUUAACCCCAAAGUCUAUUACACAUGCCCUCAGCAUAUCUUCCAAUGUCUGUAUUGUUCGUUCUGAUUGCCCAUCAGUCUGAGGCUGGAAAGGCAUGCUGAAAUCCAACUUAGUGCCCAAUGCUUCCUACAACUUUCCCCAGAACCUACUGGUGAACUAUGCUUCUCUAUCAAAUAUUAUAGAAAUGGGGAUACCAUGCAGUCGUACUAUCUCAUCCACAUAAACUCGAGCGUAUUGGGCAACCCUGUAAGUAGUUUUAAGCAAAAGAAAAUGGGCUGACUUUGUUAACCGGUCCACUAUGACCCAAAUCGAAUCAUAGCCCCCACUUGUUCGAGGCAAACCCGUUACGAAAUCCAUUGCAAUAUGCUUCCACUUCCAUUCGGGCACUUGUAAUGGCUAUAGUAGCCCUACAGGCCUUUAAUGCUUGGCUUUAACCUGCUGACAAACUAGGCACUUGGAGACAAACUCAACUACAUCUUUCUUAAGUCCUUCCCACCAAUAUACCUCUUUCAAAUCUUGAUACAUCUUUGUAGCCCCUAGAUGUACCACAUAGGCUGCCAUGUGCGCCUCCUCCAAUAUUUCUCUCCUCAAACCAUCACUAUCGGGCACAUAAAGUCUGGUUCCAUACCUCAAUACUCCAUCCAUGCCUUUAGUAAACGUAUUUCCUUUCCUUUCUUAAGGAUCCUCUAAGGCCUUAGCUAUGAACUCAUCCUCACCUUGUGCUUCUUUAAUCCAAUCCAUUAAGAUAGGCCUUACUCUACAAUGUGCUAGGAAUGCAUUUGCCUCCGAAAGUUCCAAAUGCACACCCAUGUCUCCCAAGCUAUGCAUCUCCCUAAGUAAGGAUCUCUUAUUUGUAGAGAUAUGUGCCAGACUCCCCCAUCGAUUUUCGACUCAAGGCAUCCACCACUACAUUUGCCUUACUAGGAUGGUAAAAAAUAGUACAAUCAUAAUCUUUUAGCAAUUCCAUCCACCUACGUUGCCGCAAGUUAAGAUCCCUCUGCUGAAAUAUAUACUUCAGGUUUUUAUGGUUCGUAUAUAUCUCACAAGUCUCACCAUACAAGUAGUGUCUCCAAAUCUUUAAGGCAAACACGAUUGCUGCCAUCUCUAAAUCAUGUGCGGGGUAAUUCUGCUCAUGCCUUUUAAGUUGCCUUGAUGCAUACGCAAUCACCUUCCCAUGCUACAUUAAAACACACCCUACACCAUCCCGCGAUGCAUCACAGAAUACCGUAUAACCCCUUAUGCCUUGCGGUAGGCUUAAUACUAGAGCUGUGGUGAGACAUGCCUUAAGCUUCUCAAAGCUAUCCUCAUAAGCACUUGAUCACUCAAAUUUUGUAUCUUUACGUGUCAGCUUAGUCAAAGGGGUGACUAUUUUGGAGAAGUCCAUCACAAAACGACGAUAAUAGCCAACCAAACCCCAAAAAGCUUCUAAUCUCCGUAACUGAUGUUGGCUUGGGCCAUUUUUCCACUGCCUCAACUUUCUUUGGAUCAACUUGUACCCCAUCCUUGGAUACCACAUGUCCCAAAAAUGCAACGCUUUCAAGCCAAAACUCACACUUGGAGAACUUGGCAUACAAUCGAUGUUCUCUCAAAGUUUAGAGCACUAUCUUAAGAUGCUGCUCAUGCUCCUCUCGGCUCUUCGAGUAGAUCAAGAUGUCAUCAAUAAACACCACCAUGAACUUGUCCAAAUAGGGCUUGAACACUCGGUUCAUCAAAUCCAUAAAGGUCGCAAGGGCAUUUGUAAGCCCGAAUGACAUCACCAAGAACUCAUAGUGCCCAUAUCUUCUUCGAAAUUGUCACGACCCAAAACCUCCCUCGGGCCCAUGACAACCGUCGCGACGUCCUAAUUGACACUCAUUACCUGAAAUGCCAACAGAAACCCCGCAAGGCUUAGCAUCAGCUUUCGCAUAUCCCCGGUGAGCGACAGUUAUUAAAUCUUGCAUUUCAAGAAAUCAUAAUUCAUUUCCAAAUCAAAUCAAUAAAAUAUUAUUUUCUAGCUCACAGGGGUAUUUUCAUUAUUUUUCUUUGAAAUUACCAAAACCCGCCAAAAACAUGGUGUAAAAGCUAAAUAUGUUCAUACAUAUUUUAAAUCAAAUAACUAACAUAUAAAAUUACUUUUACAAUGACACGUGGGCCCCCAACUAACCAAUAAGAUGCGAGUUUGUGAACCUAUAAUUUUGUCAAUGCAAGGCUAACUGAAGUCCUUGAUGCAAUCGGCUAUCUACCGGCUAUCCCGAACCUAAAAUGUGGGGAAUUAAGGGUGGUGAGAUUAUAAAAUCCCAGUGAGUAAAUAGACACCAUCUAAACUAUCUAAAGGCGAGUAAAUGAAGACAAUUAAAAAAUAAUUAACUUCAGCAAAUUUUUCACAUCACGAAUAUUCAUUUCAACCAAAUAAUCAAUAUGGCUCGUGAAUUACUCAAAACUUGGCUCAUGCCAAAUCCUGUACUCGGUGACACCUGGACCAAGGGUAUCCAACCGAGCCUGCCAAGGCUAUUAAAAAUUCAUAUUUCGCAUAAAUCAUAUUUUUAUUUUGAAACGUAGCCGUUCCUUGGCAUUGGCUGAGUCUCACUCUCACGCGAUGGUCCACGUAAAGUGCACUCAAAAAGCCCACCUCAGGAGAUACCCUACGCGCCUCUACGACCAAGGUGAGAAUAUAAAGGAGUUUACCGUGCCCCUCUAAUAGGCUGGCCCACGGAACCCCCCACUACUGCAGUAGCUAAUCUUUUAUCUACUACCUGAUUUAUAAAAUCUUUUUCUGCAUGACAUGGCAAUUUAUUGCAACCUAGCCUCUUAAGGCUAAAUACAUAGUACAAAUAAUUCUAACACCAAAAUCAGUUUAGCCAUUCAUGCUCAUUUAUUGUCAUAAGCCGUUCAAUUUAAAACCAUAAAUUUACAACACAAGCAGGCAGUCUCCAAUUACUCUAUUUUCAAAACCAGUAUUCGAUUUUCCAGAAAAUUUAUAAAAUCAUAAUUUCUCUUAAAACAUUGCAAUUUACCAUUUAAACUCAUUUUCCAUAAAAUCACACAAUUGUAUAAAACUACUCUAGAUAAUUAAGACGAUAAUAAGUUUACUCACAGUUUCUGAAAACUAAAUUCGGGUACUCCAACUAUUACUCCUCGGGUGUGAUUUCUUUGCCCUUGCCAAAGGAUUUGCCACCUUGACAAAUUGCACAAUUAAGAGGUUUACUACUUUGGUACUAAACCAAAAUAAACUAAUUUAUACUACUAAUGCAUGAUAUGAAGUGAAAAAUGUCUAAAUUUUGCCUAAACGCGGUGUUAGCCUAUUUCGGUCUUUUACUCGAUAAAUCGAUAUACACAUCCAUUUAAACUCCAAAUUAAUUUUUUUCAAUUUCUAUACCUCAACUGCACCCAAAUUAACUUAAUGUUCAUCAGUGUGGUGCAAAUUAUCAGUCCCGAUAGCAAAUUACGAAAAUACCCCUAGUGGGUAAAAAUUCAUAUUUUUGCUCCGAAAAUUCCCAUUAUUUUUCUAGGCUCAUAAUUCAUCAUUAUUCAUCAUAAUUCCUCAAAUAAACAUCAAGAUCAGCAGCCAAUAUUCCCCUAGAAAAUUCGGCAUAAUGGGUUUCAAUGGGAGAAAAUUAUUUCUCUAGCUUAUUUUUGCUAUAUUUCAAUAUAACCUAACUAAAAUCACUUAAUUCAAUUAAAAUCAACCAAAACUCAAGCUCAAAACUCAUCCAUGGAGGUUUGGCCAGCAUGGGUGUCCAUACCCACUUUCUAAUUUUGCAUGGAAAUGAGAAAAAAAUGCAUGGGUAGUGAAAAUCACAAGGAAAAUCAAUGAAAUUUACCUUUUUAAUGCUUGAUUUCUUGAUUUCUCUUGAUUUUUCCCAAAAUUUUUCAGCUAGGGUUCUUAUUUCUUUUCCCCCUUUUUCUCUCCUGGUUUGGACAGCUGAAGAAGAUGAGAAUUCUGGAAUUUUGACCUUUUUAAAGGCUAAAAUAAUAUAAUAUUAUUUUAUUCAUUUUUUUAAUGUUUUAUUAAUUCCUUAAAUUCUAGCCAUCCAUUUGUUUCCAAAUUUUCACCAUACACUUGUCCCACAUAUCCAUAGCUUAGAUAAAAUUUUCAGACUUAUCCAAAUUCUUGGUGGAGUAAUUUUUGAAAUUUACACUUUUGCCCCUAUAAAAGUCAAAAAUUACAUUUUUGCCCCAAAAACUGAAAAAUUGCCCAUAGACAUAUUUUUCAUCCCUUAUACUCAUACCAUUCUCCAAUUUGUCAAAUUUGAUCUAAAUUCUCUCAAAAUCUCAAAUUUUGUUCGUGGGUGGAAAAAUUACGAUUUUUGCCCUUACACUCCAAAAAUCACCGGAAUUAAACUUUUUCACUACCAAACCCUCAAAUUGUACUCAAUACUCAAAUCAUACUAUAAUAAGUUAAAUGGGGCCAAAAAAAAAUAUUUUCUCAAAAUUCUCAUUUUGUCCCCAAGUGGCAAAUGACCAUUUUGCCCCUAGAUAGUGAGAAUUUCGAUUUGACUCCAAACUGAUCAUCGAACUCCGAAUUACCAUUUUGAGUCAUCCCUGAACUGUGAAACUCUUAAUUUCACCUCAAAAUUCCUAUUUGAACUAGUUUGAGGCUUAAUCGACUUAAUGGUACCAUUAGGGGUAAUAUCAUCUUUCAACGAUUCCUCGAACUUCCUAAACAUGCAAACAUUCUAUUAGCAUGUAAAUGACGUCAUAAUUAUUUUAUAGAACAUGGUUUGACAGAAAUGUUGUCUUUGGUAUAUCUUCAUUCCGGAUCCUUAACUGAUGGAACCCAUAUCGUAGGUCUAUCUUAGAGAAACAUUGUGCUUCUUGUAAUUGAUCAAAUAAAUCAUCUAUUCUUGGAAGGGGGUACUUAUUCUUCACCGUCACUUUAUUAAGCUAUCGGUAGUCAAUGCACAAUCUAAGAGACCCAUCUUUAUUCUUUACAAAUAACACCGGUGCUCCCCAUGGUGAGACGUUAGGACGGAUGAAGCCUUUAUCCAACAAAUCUUUUAACUGAUCCUUAAGCUCCUUAAGCUCCGUAGGUGCCAUCCUAUAUAGGGGUAUGAAUAUAGGUCUAGUUUCGGGAAUCAAAUCUACCCAAAAUUCAAUCUCCCGCUCAAGAGGCAAACCUGGUAGUUCCUCAAGAAAUACAUCCAUGAACUCAUUCACCAUCGACACUUGGCUUAUAUAUCCAACCUUCGCUUGAGUAUCCCUUGCCACAGCCAAAUAACCUAAACAACCCUGUCGUAAUAAUCUUCUGGUUGACAUGAUCGAUAUUAAAUUGGUUGGAGCAUUGCUUCUAUCCCCCUGAAUACUAAAUGAUGGUUCACAAAAAAAAUCAAAUCUAACCAAUUUAUGAUAGCAGUCUACACAGGCAUGACAGGGUGGUAGCCAAUCCAUACCUAAGAUCACGUCAAAAUCUAAGGUGUCUAACACCACUAAACUCUCCAAAGUAUCCUUGUCCUUGACUCAAGCUACACAGGACUCAUAUUCCCAUUUGGCCACAAAUACCUCUUUUAAAGGAGUAGACACCACUAAUUGUUCUUCUCUCUUAACAUAAUCUUUACCCAAACGAGAUGCAAAGCAUGGAGAAAUAAAAGAGCGGGUAGCACCAGGAUCAAACAAUACCCGAGCAUUCAUAUUACAAAUUGAGAGAAUACCUGAUACCACUACGUUGGAUGUCUGGGCCUCUUGUAGUGUUAAAGCAAAUACCCUUGCUUGACCCCUACCAGCAAAACUUUAGCGUCCAGACCCAAAAGGCCUGCCCUGAGAGGAAGUAACAACACCUCUCCCUCUUGAUCCGCUAACCUCCAAAUCAGAUGAGGUGGCUACUGAAGGAGCGGAUGAAGUUGGCUAGGUGGAGUCGCGAGCAAAACCUUGCGAUUGAUGAGCCAUUGGGCAAUUCCUUUUAAUAUGUCGAGGUUGACCACAUAAGAAAAAAGCUCCAGUAGCACAGAGGCAUCUUCCCCUAUGCCGUCCCCCACAAGUAUCGCAACGACGAAUAACUUGACUUCGUUACCUAGAGUCUUGCUGCCUUCCCCCACUAAAAGUUUUCUGCCUUGAUCAAAUGUUGGCACCAGUCAAGUCACUCCCCUGUUGGGGUAAUUAUGAGUCCCUUUGUGGGCCCUGACGGCUAGAAGAUGAAACACCACUACUGAAGUCUCUGCGACCUUGAUAGCCGUCUGUCUUGGCCCUCUUUGCUCUAUCCCUCACAACCCUACUCUCACUAAUUCUCAUCUCAAUCCAUUGAGCGCAAUCCACUGUUGUGGAGUAGGUAUUGAAAUCUUGAGAUGCCAUAGCCCUAAAUAAUGGCUCCACUAGCCCAUCCACAAACCUCUGAAUCUUCAUCUCCUCAGUGGAAACUAGAUAAUGCACAUAUCGAGACAACUGUGUGAAUUUUAUAUCAUAAUCAGACACCGUCAUACUCGAGGUCUAUACCAAAGCCUCAAAAUCCCUAGCUCUGGCAUUACGUAUACUGAGUGGUAAAAAUCGAUCUAAAAAGGCUGUACUGAACUCACUCCAAGUCAAAAGUGCUGCAUUCGUUGGUCUACCUCUACAUAGGGAACUAUACCAUUCUUGAGCCACGUCCUCUAAUCGGAGGACGGCUAGCUCGACUAAUCGGAUACUGGAACAUCCUAAGGCUUUACAAAUUUUCUCCAUCUUUUCUAAGAAAAUCUGAGGUUUCUUUGAUGCAUCAGACCUUGAAAAUGACGGAGGCUUAAGCUUGAGAAAAUUAGGAAGAGAAAUCUCUAAAUGACCCCUCUCGGCCUCAUUAUGCUAGCUUUCGACCUACCACUAGGAACUAGGGGAUUCUUGUACUGUAGGUCUUCCCUCCACUAUCCUCUGCAUAUCGUCCAUAUGGGCUGCCAUCAUCUCUACAACCCGAUUAACUCCCUGCAGGCCUGCCGCCAAGUCCUCAAUUGUGAUGCCCCCAGUUGGUUGUCUAUCCGUAUCACUCGGAGAUUGUCCAUCCUCUUGUCUACUCACAUGCGUAUCCGCCCUCACUGGCCUAAUGGCCCCUCAACAUCUACCUCGCCCCCUUAAGGUGGAUGCCUGUGGCCAAUCUGUUAGCUCAUUAGGAGCAUCUUGCUCCCCCAUCCGUCUUGAGGCAGCUCGUGUCUUAGGCAGCAUUCUUACCUAGACAAUAGCAAACACCUGUCAUUAAACACAUUUUAUAAUCAUACUUAAGGGGAAAAAGGUGGUUUCUAAGAUAGGGAAUUCCUGCGGUCCCUUGAUUGCAAAAUGUGCCAUGGUUCACACUUCACAACUGAAGGUUCCACAUAAAGACCCAACACUCCGUUGGACCAAAAAAAAGAAGUCCUAGGACCUAGACAACCUAAGGCUCUGAUACCAAGUCUAUCACGAUCUAAAUUUUUCGAUCAUCACCAGCGCAUGGGCCCAAUAGACGUAGCCCACUAAGCCCAAGCAAGCCUAUCUAUAUGUCCUGUUUAUCAUUCCAUCAAAGUGGCUAAAGUUACAUUUCAUAAUUUCAAUUUGAAAUAUUGAUAACGAUUGCCAACUCGUCAUGGCAUUACCAAUCAAAAUAUACAUAUCAACAUAUUGUGAUAACACAUGAACCAUUAUAUGACACACUUUCACAAGAUAGAAACAUUCACCAAAGGCUUGUUCCGUAGAUAGAGUUUUAAGGAAAAGUUGGAUAAAAUCAUUCAAAUGUUUUGUGCAAAUACAUUCCCAAAAUAAUUUUGAAAUGCAAGUUCACUCACCGGUAUUUGUUAAAUCUUUACUCAACUCCAACUUCCUCUAAUGGUCCAAAUAGGGUGGUGGGGCUUCGUUAGAACCUAUCAUCACAUUGCCAUCACAAUUAACUCAAUUCAUACAACUAUAAAUUCUAAAAGCUAUCUUCUAACAAGCAUCCAAUUGUCAUUAAGUAGCUAUCUAUUUUCACUAUCCUAAUCACUCUAAAGUGAAUGAACAACCUCAACUACAAAAUACCCAUAAGUCUAAUCACUAGCCAUUCUUAACACAAAAAAAAAGAUCAACUCUAAUUUACUACUCACCUUGGUAGCUUUGUAAAUUUGAAAUUCUCUCCAAUAAUUUUCAAGCUGUUAUAGAAACUCCCUCUUUCUCUCUUUAAAACACCUAGCUAGGGAGAGAGAGUUUGGAAGUAAGAAUUUUCAAGGGUUUUCAAAUGAGAGAGUGAAAGAACACAAAGGUUUUGUGAAAGGGUGCACAAAAGCAUGAAGAUUGAAGCGAACUUGUGGGAAGUUAUGGAGGUUUCAAACAAGCUUCCAUGGAGGAUGAAAGCAACGUGAGAUGGGAGGAAGAAGUUGAAGAAGAAGCUGCUAAAAGAAAAUGAUAUUUAUAGCUCAUGUUUAUCCAACUCCACUUAAAUUGUGAAAAUUCCCUCAACAAGUUAGCUUGUUCUCCUCCAAUCCUUUAUGCAAUCUUUUUACUGAUUGAACAUUGAAACAAAGUCCAUAAUGGUCUAAAAAUGCUCGGGUUUGUGAAAACUUAAAAAUUUUGACUCGAAAUGAAAAAUGACUAUUUUGCCCCUAUCGUGGAAAUCAUCAUCAUUUUUUAUUUCCUUUGUCAUUUCACUCAUAUUUUAAUCAUUCAUUUAUGCCUUAGACCUUAAUUGUGAGACCCUGUCAAGCUCGAUUAAAAGACGGUAUUGUACCGAGUGGUACAACUAAGUUAAAUCGAGCCUUGAACUAGUUCAAAUAAAAAUUUUAAGAGAAAAUUGAAAAUUUUGAAACCCAUAGAAUGGCUUAGAAUAGUGAUUUGAAGUUCAAGGUCCAGUUUGGAGUCCAUCAGAAAAAUUGACCGAUUAGGGACAAAACGGUCACUUUACCAUUUGAUGAUAAAAUGGAGAUUUUUAGCCAAGAUUUGAUCACAUUUGACUAAGAGUAAUUAUAUGAAAUAUAAUUAUGAUUAUUGGAGUAUAAAAUGAUGUUUAGCAGUGAAAAAAUUAUGAUUUCUGGUAUUUUUGGAGCACAAGGGCAAAAUGGUAAUUUUACCACUAGAGGACUAAACGGGAAUUUUUAUAAAAUGAGUUUUUUGCCCCAUUUGGUUAAUAUUGAUCAAUGUUAGUGUUAUUUGAGGUUGAAAAGUAGAAAUAAUUUGAUUCCGGUACAUUUCGGAGUAUAGGGGCAAAAUCGUAAUUUUUUUCGCUCCGGGGGCAAAUCGAUAAAUUUUUUGCCCCAGCACUUGUCAAGGCCAAGGGAUUUUAUUCAUCCUGUAAAUGGAUAAACAUGAGAAAUGUGUGGUGGAGAGAGAUUACUUAAUGGCUAAGUAUGACACAUGGACCAAUGGAAUGGUGACAUGUGUCAAAAUCUCAUCCAUUCAUUAUUUUCUUUAUAAAAGGCAUACAAAUCAGCCCAUUUCUCCCAUGGUGAUCAGCCAAACCAGAAGAGAAGAGAAACCAAGGAAGAACAAGCCCUAGGUGGGGAAAAUCAGAGAGAAAGUGUUGGAAUUCAAGGAAACAAGCUAGGUAAGUUAAAAUUUCUUUAAUUCUCCUUGAUACCUAGCUUACCCAUGCUUUUGUUCUUGAUUUCCAUGAUUGAAUAUUGAGUUAUCAUGAUGAAUUCAAUUCUGAAAAAUGGGUAUGGAAGAGGAAUUGUUGUUGGAAUAAUUAGAUUUCAGACUAUGUUAGUGUUUAAGGAUAGUUAAGCAUGGUUAUGAACAAAAACACAAAAGAAAUAUUCAAUUUCUCUAGGGUUCCUUGUUGGUCGAACCAUGAGGGCUGAAUAUCAAUGGGGGAUUGUUUUUAUUUAAAGGAAAAUGGCUUGGAAAAUGAUGAAUUAAGGUGAAACGAUUAUGUAGAAAAAAUUUCGGUGCUAGUGCACCAAAUGACCAAAUUUUUCUAUUAGGAACUGUGAGGGUUCUAAUGCUGAAUUUGGCUUUAUUUAAAUGGUAUGUGGUAAAUUAAGGUAUUAGAGGAGAAAUGGAUUAAUUUGGAGUGAAAUUGGACGCAUUGGCCAAUUUAUCGGAUGAAAAAUCGACUUAGGCCACUACCGGGUCUAGAUGGCUACCCGUGCAUUUUUCAUUUCAUAUCAUAUAUAUAUCGAGCUUGAAAUAGCUUAUGACUGUUAGACACAAUUUAAUUGGAAUAUGUGUCAUGGAUUAUGGCUAGGUGGUGAGCCAUUGGAUACGGGUAAAGGACUGUACCCACGGACUAAAAAUAGGAGUAUUCUACUCCUAAUACCAGUGAGUGGACUUGCAUUUCAAACUUGUUUUGGGGAAUAUGAAAGAUUCUAUUCAACUUGUCUUAGAAAAUGUACCUUGGGAACAAACUUUUAGUAAAAUGAUUUUAUAUUGUGAAAAUGUGAUAUACAAUGGUUUAUGUGUUAUCACAAUAUGAUAAAAUGCAUGAUAUGCAUUGGAUGUGUAAAGCCCGACCUUAUAAAAUACUAUUCAUGACAUACAUGUGAUGAUAGUAUGAUUGCAUGCUAGGAUAGUCCCGAAAAAUUUACAAAAGUCGGUAUUGUACCUAGAGGUACAACAAAGUUUAUUUAAUCCUCGAACUAGAUCAAAUAGGAAUUUUAAGGUGAGAUUAAGAGUUUCACAGUUCAUGGAUGACUUAAAAUGAUAAUUUGGAGUUUGAGGAUCAAUUUUGAGUCAAAUCGGAAUUUUCACUAACUAGGGGCAAAAUGGUCAUUUGCCAUGUAGGGACAAAAUGAGAAUUUUAGAAAAGAUUUUUUUUUUUACCCCAUUUGACUUAUUGGAGUAUAAUUUGACUUAUUGAAGUAUGAUUUGAGGUUUAGAAGUAAAAAANNNNNNNNNNNNNNNNNNNNNNNNNNNNNNNNNNNNNNNNNNNNNNNNNNNNNNNNNNNNNNNNNNNNNNNNNNNNNNNNNNNNNNNNNNNNNNNNNNNNCUAAACCAUAAUUAUUCAAUCAAAAUACAUAUCGUGCAUCGAAAUCUUAUUUUUUAGUAUCGAAUAUAGUAUUGUAUAAUUUAAAAUUACUUAUAAAUAAUAUUUAUACAUAUAAAAUAAAGAAAAUAUUUUAAAAUGUUAUAUUUUUUUAUAGAAUUGAAGAUUAUAGAAUUAUACAUAAAUAAAAAAAAGAUCAUUUUUUAAUUGAAAUUCUCAAUAUAUUUCUAAAUAAAAUAUACAUUUUUAUAUUAAUUUACAAGACAAGAUGAGAUGUCUACGCCUAAUACCACACCAUUCCAUGACCAUAAACAAACCCCUCGAAGCAUUCAUUCAUUCCUAUUGAAUCAAAUAACAUAUAAAACAACUGCACCUUCUCUUCUCGACCUUUCACAAAGCUUUCUUCCGUGGAAACCAGCAAUCCCGCUUGGAUGAAAUUUUUUUUUAUAAUACUUUUAUAUACAUAAUGUUUAACUAAUUUUAUUUUUCUUCUCAAUUCAUUUAAAGUAAAUAGUUUGGCUUGGAACAAGUUAUUUAAGGAAUCUUAUUUUUUAUUUAAUUAAAAUGCAAUACUAAUUAUAAAAUGAUCAAUUUAUAUAGAUAUAAAAUCAUGUACAUUAUAAUUUAAAAAAAUUACAUAAUUUAAUCAUAUAAAUAUUUAAAGAAAAGGGUAAAAUACCCUAACUCUACUAAAUUUUAAUCGAGUUUACAUAGAAUUAUUAAUUUUUGAAAUAGAUACUCCGCUCUAAGAUUACAAACACUGUUAACAGAAAUAAUAAAAAAAAUAAAAAUACUCUAUUUUAUUAAUUUAAAAAAUUAAUGUUAUAUUUUUAAAAACAUAAAAACCAUUGAUCCUCCCGAGCUCCCCCGUAGAGGGGAGCACUAACUGAUGCUCCCACGGUGCUCCCCAAAGGAGGGGAGCCCGAUGAAGGCUCCCCAAUGGGGAGUUUUUCUUUUAAAAAAAUUAAUAAAUUUAUAUAAUUGUCAUUAUAAAAAUUAAUUAAGAGUAAAAUUAUCUUUUUACUCUUACCACAUUGAUAAAUUGACAAAAGUAACAACAAUCGACUAACAACUGAACCUGCAUAUUCGAAAUGUUCAUUUUAAAAAUAAAUGAAUCUCUGUAUAAUUCCAAUAAAAAUUUAAAGAAAUCAAGAUAUUUUACCCAAAAAAAUAUCAUCUACAAACAAAAACAACCCCAAACUAUGCAUAAAAUGAAAAAUAAAUAUCAUCAAAGCUAGAACAAGGCUUUCAGAAAAAGAAAAAAAUAAAAGAAAAGCUAGAAUCAAGGCAUUCAAAAUUACAUUCUCGUUUGUAAUCAAUUUUCUUAUCAAUCUAUCAUAUAACUCUUGCAAUCUCAUUCUCAAAAACAGGAACAAACUAAGGAUAACUACAAGGGCUUGCUAAUACCUCAACACAGUUAAAAGUUAAUUACACGAUUUAUACCGCCUGAUUGCUAUAGCAUGCAUAAAUCCUGUUAAGCUAAACACUUCUCUUUACUCUAAACCUACAACACAGCAACAGUAACUGGAAACAGGCCUUCCAGUUACACACCUCAUGAGCCAAUGACCAAACAGAAGAUACAUGCAUGAAGAACAAAUAUGGGGUACAAGUGGUAAGAAGCUUCAACCACAAUUCCAUGGAACAUAAAGUCUUAUCUGGUAGAGACUUCACACUGUUUCCUGUAUAUAUGACAUGUAUAUUUACAACUGAACAAUACACUCAAAUCAUUAAGUUGGAGGAAGUUUAUCCAAGGGUUUGAUUGCCGCAACUCCACUGAGAUCAUGACUCAUGUAUUUUUCAUAUGUGACCUUCAACUGUCCUGAUCUGGCAGCUCUUUGGAAUCUUAAAAUCAUUUCUGCACACUCCCUGUUGACAAUCAAGCAUAAUUAAACAUCCACGACUAAAAAGACCUACAAAAGAUAAUAAGACUUUAAAGAUAUGUGCCUGAUUUCUGACACGUCAUAGCGUGCAUAUCUGCAAAGCAAUGGGGUCCAGGAUGGAGCCAUUUGCAGGGUACACCGAGCAACAUAGAUAGCUGAUGCACAUAGCAAGGACGCCUUGAACUUCAAAGCUUCAUAUUCAACUAAGCACAGCUCAAUGAGGUAAAACGCUAGAUGUUCAAGCUGAAAGCAAUAUCCAUCACAAGUAACAGAAAUUGUCAACAUACUUUUAAACAAUCAGUAUGUCCAAGUUAGAAGAGUAAAGAAUACCUAAUAUCAAAUACAAAUCUAAUAAAAGCUCCCUAUAUAUCAAAUAUAACUGAUCCAAUAUGUGUAAAAGCUGCCUCCUUUUCUUUCUUCACCAUUUUUUAAUGGGAAUUUUAGGUUUUAUUAAAUAGCUGAUUCAGCAGUGACAUUCUAAAUGCUAUGACAUACCUUGGUGUCUGAUUGAGCAGCCCUGAUAAACCUUAACAUGAAAACAUAGGGAGUAGGUGCAUUUAGGCGAAACUUCAACUUUUUAAGGAUAAGCUUCUCCUGCGAAUUGAAGUUACUUUGUAUUGUUAAGAACAAUAAAGGCAAACACAGGUUGGGCAAAAUUUAAGUCACUGAAGAUGCUUGAAUGAUAGCUAAAUCUAUCUGAGUCAUGUGGGUUUUGGGUUAGAAGUAUGACCAUAGGUUAUGAUUGUGCGUUCUAGCAUAAGGGUUGAAAAUAAUAAAAAUACACAAACCAGAUAGAUUCCAAGUCCAAAUACCAAGUUUACUCCUUACUAAAGCAAACAAUAAUUCAUGUACAAACCAUGUUCAUUUCUCAGAAGUUUAAACUCCAUAUCAAAAGAAAGUGCAUACCAUUUUGAGCAUUUGUUCACUAGUGUAAGUCUCAGCAGAUAUACUGAUUAAAUCUUUGACCUGUAAAGGAUGAAGGGCAUAAAAUUAAAUGAGAACAUGAUUUUUGCAAGGACUCAACUUUGAAAAACAAUUAUGAUACCAUGCAAAAGUGACAUUAAUAUUUACCCUGGGAUGCCAAAAAUCCUCAUAUUUUGAUGCCAGCAAAAGAGUAGUAAGACCAACCAACUGCAUAUCAUUCUUCUUUAUUUGGACCUCUGAGAGAAAUCGAUCUAACAAGGUGACCAUGAGAUAAAGUGUUUCUUGCAUUAAAUCAAAUCUGAGGUGCACCUGUUAUAAGAGUUAUGAAGGACAGAGCAUCUAAAAUGAGCAAGCUGGAAAUCUUAUAAGUUACACAGGGUAAAACACUAUAAUGAACAAAAAGGUGCAUUAACACCAUGUGAAACAAAAUGUACCUCAAUCAGCCAGUUGACCAAUAUGCCCCUCAUACAAGGAGUAAUAUCUGUCUGCAUUGACAUAUAAUUUUCCAGAGAUGCAUUCUGUGCCUGCAGAAUAUAAAGUUCAUUUUAAGCAAAAUUAUCUAGUUACCCAAGCAUUGCCAAAACAGGUCCAAACAAUUGGGCAUUGAGAUAAGUAGACUUAUAUCAACAACGUUGGAGUUUGAUGUACAUAGAUUUAGAAAUGUCAACAACAGAGGUGCAAAGCUAAACCAGAAAAUGAGAAAUGGAUCAACAGUGAUUGAUUAAUAGGUAGGCAACUACAACUAAAAAACCAUAUCUCUGCUACUCUUUUACUUUCACUUUAAAAGCAGAUGUUCUGUUUCUAAUGAAGAAUGAAUCUCUGUUUUAGAAAAGCCCAUAUGGCACUACAACAAAAUAUUAUCCUUAAAUCAUCUAAUCAGCAACUCUCUAACUUUCUUUUUGAUCGAGAACAAACAAAUUAAGGAUAAUUACUGAUGACUGUUUGUUUACUAUGUUACUGUUUAUUCAGCUGAGUCAAUCCAUUUUACAAUUGAUCCGUGUUAUCAGUCUCUCUCCUAUAGCUACUUAUCAUUAGAUCAAGCCCCUUACAAAUAUAAUUAUAGGAUGUUAUGUUAAUAUCAAGAGAGAUGCAUUCCCAUGGUCUGGCUUCUCUCAGUGUUCAAGAAGGAUCUUAAUUGCAGUGCAAUAUGCCUAGCACCCAGACCACAGUAAGCUAAAAGCAUUUCUAGAAAGAUAAGUAAUGGAAGAAAGAUGAUCCUAAUGAACAAGUACCUCAGUAAUCCAAUAAUAUUGAUAAAUCUCAUCAACGUAUUGAGCAACUUCCAAUGGAUUACCAUCAUUAUCAAUGCCUGGUAGCUUUUCUUCUUCCUUGACUCCACCAUAAUCCUCUAAUAGCUGCAAAAUAUUCUUAAUAGUCAUUCAACUUCACAGUGUAGUUAAGACAUUACUGUAGAUUUUACUGGGGCCAAACCUUUGAUCUUGUCAUCAAUAAGGAUGUAUAAGAUCUCCUACGUGUAGUUUUCUUCCGGGAAAGGAUAUCUGGCAUGUUGGUGCUAGCAUCACUGUUGCCAUUAGAAGGAAGAUCCCUCCGAUUGAUUUCAUUGGAAAUUAUUGUUGCAUUAUUUUCUGUAUGAGAACACAAUAAAUCUUUCUCGGAUGAGAUAGCAGCAACAUAUACUGGUUUCUUGAAACCUGAUGAACACUUGGAUUUUGAAGUUCUUUGAGCAUUGGGAGCCCUGAGUGCAGUCUUAACAAUUGGCUGGGCAAUGAAUGACAUCAAAGCAGCUCAUAUAAGCAUAAUUGGGUAAUAUGCACACAUAAACAUGAUUAUGGUAGCCAGAUAACCAUAAGCAAACUCAGAAAGUAUAAGGCAAAAGCAUUAGAAAAUGAAGCAAACUAAUUGAAAAACAAAGCAUUGAAGGCACAUAUAGCAUGUCACAUACCUUGAAAGAUCUUGGCAAGAUACUAGCGGCUGCAUUAGAUUGAACUUUAGGAGGCCUAGUUACAAAAAAAUCCAAAUUAAUCAUCAGGCUUCAUACCUUUAGGCCUUUCAGGACCAAUCACCAUUAAAAUUGACACAAAUGAGCUCCAAUUUGAAAAAAAGAAUGCGAUUUAAUAUUUGAAUAGACUACAAAUUUUUGGUGGUAAAUUCAUCAUUUAAAGUAGGUGACUAUAGCACUUCACUUCCGUCACUAUCGAGACUUUACAAGGAGCAAAAAGAUAGGCCAUGGAACAGCUCCCACUUUCUCCCUAGAAACCAAGUUAUCUUGAACAUGUCAACAGUACAAUUUGCAAAGCCAGGUGUCUGUAUCUAAGCAUCAGGGUUGGCACCAACUUUUUUUUCCUUAUAUUUCCCAACUUAUUUGCAAUGAAGGUAUAGACUCAAGAUAUUGAUAAGGCAGUCCUCUUUCAGUUUCCAUAUUUACCACUUCAAUGUAGGACACUGUACCUUCUAAAUAUUUACCUGUGAAUACCAUGUUUUCCUACAUUGUCUCCAAAAAUCAAAACAACAAAAAUGAAAAGACAAAAUGAUUAAAUCGGAACAAAACAACAUUAUUCAAUCAGAACAAGAGCAUAUUUAUUUUUCACGCACUUUCCUUUUCUUAUGUGAAGCAUAACCAAGAUUGACCGCAAGCAUCAUUCAUAUUCUUUUUGCUACAAAGCUAGUAUAUAAUAUUUUCGGUAACCUGAAAAUAAUAUUAUAAAUCCAGAACAUCGGAAAGCUAAAAUUCUGGACUGCGGCAACCUUGAACUGCAUGAAACAAUUCAAGGAAUAGAGGAAUAAGUCUUCAGCCUUAUUUCUCUAAAUUACUUUUUCUUGUACUCACUGAUAUCUAAAUGUGUAAUUCAUUUAUGUUUUUGAUUCUGACAUUAAUAUAAGAGAUUAUCCAAUAAUCAUAGCAGAGUAAAGAACCAGAAUGAAAUUAAAACUCCUGCUUACAUUAUUACAAAGCCAUCACUCUCUCGAUUCCUCCAAAGAUUGCUCUUUGCAUUGUUUGCUUGCUGUUUAGCACUUGCACAGACUUUAGCCUUAACUGAUAAAAAUAAGGGCGAGAACAGAAAGGAAACACCAUCUUAGUCGAUGAACUCUGUGCUUGCACAUUUGGAAAUUUAAGAGAAAUGAAUCAUGCAUCUUACUCAUACUCCUGCUAGGUUCUGUAGUUUUUUCCUGCAGAAAAAGGGGAGCAAGACAUUCAAAACACAGAUAAGAGGCAGAUACAAUGCACAACCAACAAGAAAAUAUGGUGAGAAAAAAGAGGGGUAGCACUAUUUUUUUUUUUUUUGAAACAAAAUGAAAGAAAUAUGUUCAAUAGCCUCGAACAAUGUCACUUUGCAAAGGCUUGGUUCACCUUCUUUAAAACUGGUAAAGACUUCCUUCAAGAAGAAUAAGGAAAUAAGAAAUUGCAUCAGUGGAGGUAUUAUAUACGUUCUUUUAAUCAAUUAAUCCAAAUAGAGUGCUUAGAUUCACUAACCUCAUGGGUACAAGUGAGCUGUUGGUUGACCUGAAGAAUUAAAGAAAAUAUAAUGUAAAACUAUUAAUUGAAGUGAGCAUAACUUGGUCGGAAAAUUUAAAACAGUAGACAUACUAGCAGGUUUCACACUACCUCCAAAAAAAAAUCUGAAACUCAAAUUAACAGUGUACCUGCUGGUAGUAACAACAAAUUUACGAUCUGAAUUCUUGGUUUUAUUGCUUUGGUCAUUCAUGGAGGUCUUCAGAUUUUUAAUACCUUCUGUUCUCAGAAACCAGAAAUUUCUUAUAUGCUGUUCAAUCAGCGAAAGUCACCAAAAAAAAUUUAUAAUUAAUAGCUGGCUACCUGUCUUAGAAGUAUGAACACCAAUAGCACCUUGGUCUAGAUGGUCCUUCUCUUUUCCCUAUUUUAAAAGAAAUUGUGAAAUAGAUCAAUUCCUUGAAAACUCCAUAAAAAAUGGAAAACAAAAGGUGAUGACAUCAAGAAAACUAAAAUGGAGGAUUAGCUGCAAACCUUGCAAUACUUCAAAAACUGUCUCUUGCUUAUAGAUGAAAAUCAAAUGAAUAUAUCAAAACUACCUCACAAAUAAUGUUCAUUAAUUGUGGACUUUUUGUGUGCAAUUUAAUUUCCAAAUUACAGGUUCCAUAAAUAUGGGAAUAAAACCUUCAAAUAACUAAAAUAGAUUAGCAGUUUAAAAGUCUUAAACUCCAUCCAAGAACUUAUCAAACCCAACUAGAAAAAGAAAUGCUAGAUCAUAUCACUCUCAUUGCUUAUACUUGUCCAUCAAUAGUUUCUCAGCUUUGUUCAAUAAUCUAAAGAUCUCUUCUAUCUUCUUACCUCUCAUCCCCUAGAAACCCAUUUGGUGGAUUUAAAUAUUUUCAUGAUUAUGAUAUCAAUAGUCCAUAUGCCAUUAAGAAUAGCAGUCAAAGUAGUUGCACUAACAGUUUUCCAGCUUUUAGUAAUUUACAAUAAUUUUCUCCCCUGGAAUGAGCUCAUAUUGUUUCAGUGGCUUGUCAGGGAGGGGAGAAAAAGAAAAAAGCGUUAAUUUUUUAUUCAGUUCUUGUACCUUGAAAGAUUUCGUGGAGAAGACAUUCACAGUUCUUGCAGCUGGAGCCACGGAAACUCUGCAAAUAAAGUACUUUGCGCAUGUUAACUGCCAUCUAAUAAACAAUAAAAAUUUAAUACAAGUAUUCAUCUAGAAAUACUUUUACAGGGCUAUUAUCUUCUUCCAUAGCAUGUUACAAAGUUGGUAGACAUCCAUUGAGGAUAAAUGGAACUUUUAAACAUUCAAUAACAAUGGAAACAGACAAAGAGGGAAAGAGAGAGAGGCAAGGAAAGGGAUGUGGAAGUAUGUCAACAAAAAGUAAAUGAUAAGAUAAAUCAUAAAGUGGAGCUGAAUUACACACAAAAGGAAACACAUUGCACCCAAAAAAAUACCAGGAGAAACACAUGCUUGGACCAUAAAAAUGAAAAAACAAACAAGGUUUACUCUUAAAUAAAUUUUGAUAACUUUAUCCAUAAUAAUAUCAAAUUGAUUGACAAAAUUAACGAGGGUCUAUAGGUCCUGAAAUCCUGGAAAUAUCAGUUCCACAUAUAGGACACAAUAACACCAAUUAGCUUUCAUACCCUUCCAAAAAUGCAUUUCUCUCAUUCUUCCUGCAUUACAAAAGAGCAAGUACUGAUAAACAAUCAAUGCAAUACCAGCAAGUGCUAAGAAUUCAAAGUAUAACAUUUGACUCACUCACAUUGGUUUGGAGCCAUCAUAAACUUUAGUUGCAGAAACAUUAGAAGUACGAUUGCUAAGAUCUGCCAAAGCUUUUCUUUGAACAAUUUUGUUUGCUGAAAAUGGGGCAUAUAAAGAACGAUAAAUAACAUUCCAACAGCCUGGAAUUAGACGCUUAUGACAAAUUUGUUAGAGAUGAACCAUACCAGAAGUAUCACGCUUGGCUUUACUAUUUGCCAUAUUCUUCAAAGCGCCCUUUAAAUUAUAUUCGAAAGUUACACAUCAACGUAAAAUCCAGAGCUUGAAACAUUACAUGCUUAAAUAAUAAAAGCAAUGAAAUUAGUAUUAACCUUCGAAUCACUUGCAGUAGUCAGAGGGGCUCCUUUGCUACCUACGGCUGACUUCAUCCUAGAAAAAAAGAAUAAUUAAAUAAAAUGUAAAAUCAGUUUGGAAAAUAAUCAAAUUAUUUUUUUUUAAAAAAGAAAGACAUAGUUCUAUAACAGAAGCAAACUUACAUAGUAGAGGCUUCAUUUUUGGGCUUUUCAUUUUGCGAAUAAAUUUUGAAACCUUUAGACAGGGCAAAAGAAAUCAAGAUUGAAGGUGAACAUAUCUAAAAGAGAAAAGGUAAUCGGAAUAAAGAAAGAAGGGAACGAGUACAGUACCACUCCUGCGAGUGAAACCGUGUGCAGCUGCUUUACUAACACCUGCUUUUCCCUGGAAUGAAAGAAUAUAAUCAUGGAUAUGAAACCCUAACUAAUUGUGUAUUAUAUCAAAAUUCAAAAUCAAAGAAAGAAUUAUGAAACGAAACGAGCGAAGGCAUUAUUAUAAUUAUUAAUUAAUUAAGAAGAAAAGGCAGUGAGAUCAAAAUCAAAAAACCUUGAGAGAUGUCAUGUUCUUGGAUCUUUCUUGAUCUGUUCUUCUUGGUUAACCGUUGCUUUUGAAAUCUGAGAUCUAUGAAGUCGCCCGCCUGUCUUCUCCACUUUUGCGUUUCAAAUUGUUUCUCAUUUUACCAUUAUACCCUCCCUUCUUUUCCAUGGGAAUUGGAAUAAUUUUCUAUUAUUUUGUUUACGUAUCUUGUGACUAGAUAAAUUUAUUACCGGAAAAUGGCAGUUAAUAGGUGAGGUUGACCUUCUUGUAAGGUCAAAUAAUAGAAUUAAAAAAAUAACCAAAAACUUGUUAAAUAGUUUAAUAGGUAAAUAAUGUGUGUAAUAUAUAAUUUUAUUUAUUUUAUACUAAAUAGUAUGUAAGUUUUAUUUUUAAUUUCACUCUUUUACAUUGAGAUAUAAAUAUUAUUUUUCUACAUUAAUAUUAUAUUAAAUACUUUAAUUAGGUUUUUUUUUUAAUUGGGAGAAAGGGCAUUCAAUUCGAUUUCUACUCUUUAGACAAGGAAUCAUGCACCAACUAAUACACUAAAUGCCCAAGUGCAAUUACUUUAAUUAGGUUAAUGUCACGACCUAGAACUCUCAUCGAACCCGUAACAACCGUCGCGACGUCCCGAUAAACAUUCAUUACUCGGAAUGUCAAUCGAAACCUCGCAACGCUUAACAUCAGUUUUUCUCGCUUCCCCCAUAAAUAUUAGUUACUAAAAUCAUGUUUUGAGAGAUUAUAAACUAUUUCGGAUUUAAAACAAUAGAAAAAUAAAUUUUUCCUCACAGGGGCAUUUUGGUCAUUUUUUCUCAAAAAUCUCAAAAUCCGCUAAAAUGUAGUAAGCGAGUACAAACACGUAAUUCAUAAUCAAAAAUAAGUUUAAACAUCUAACACCUUCAUUUAAAAUGAAAUUACGAUUAUUUGAAUAUAAUAAAAAUAUUUAAUAAAAUAUUCUAUUUUCUUAUUAAACACUAUUUUUAGAGUUAUACGUAAAUAAUUUUUUUUGCAGCGUAAAGCAAAAUAAAUUCAUAUAUAUUGUGAUACAGUAAACCAAAAUAUUUAAUUUAAUUUACAAUAACCAGUGGGCCCCCGUAUAACCAAAAGUAAAAGGAGACUGAACCUACAGUUUGGAAGAUGCAACCCGAUGGUAGCCUCGGUGAAAUCAGCUAUCUACAGCCUAUUUUGAGCCUGAAAUUGGUGGAAAUGAGGGUGGUGAGAUUUUAUAAUCCCAGUGAGUAAACAAACACCAUUCAAAAUGAAAUACCCCAUACUUUGAUAUGGUGAUAAAUAAAGUUGAUCGAAUACAAAUUGAGGUCAAUUAAAAUGUUUAAAAGUGAUAAAAGACGAAAGGAGUAGUUUAGGAUAAAAUAUUUCAAAAGUGAGAAAAUAAUAAUAAAAUAAUAAUAAUUUUAUCGAAGGAGAAUUUGCAAGAUAAAAGGCGAUUCGGAAGUCAAGUGAGGCAUAAUAAGGUAUUUUGGGUAUCAAGGAGACAAGAUAAAAUUUUUAGAAUAAAAUAAUAUUUUAUUAAUGAAAUAAUAUUAAAAUAUUAAUAUUUAAUCGGAUGUCAAAAUCGGUCAUCAAGAAGGAUCAUAUGGUUGAUCCAAGUGGGGGAGAAGAUGACAAGCCCGACUCUAUAAAAAUAUUUGUCAUGACAUACAUGUGAUGGAUAGNNNNNNNNNNNNNNNNNNNNNNNNNNNNNNNNNNNNNNNNNNNNNNNNAAUUUACAAAAGUCGGUAUUGUACCUAGAGGUACAACAAAGUUGAUUUAAGCCUCGAACUAGAUCAAAUAGAGAAUUUACGAUGAAAUUAAGAAUUUUAACGUCCCAGAAUGGUUUAAUAUGGUAAUUCGGAGUUCGAAGAUCAAUUUGGAGUCAAAUCGAAAUUUUCGCUAUCUAGGGGCAAAAUGGUCAUUUGUCACUUGGGGAUAAAAUGAGAAUUUUAAAAAAGAUUAUUUUGGCUCCAUUUGACUUAUUGGAGUAUAAUUUGACUUAUUGGAGUAAGAUUUGAGGUUUAGAAGUGAAAAAUUUUAAUUUCGAUAUAAUUUAGAGUAUAGAGGUAAAAUGGUAAUUUUACCACCCCAGGGGCAAAACAGUAAUUUUUUACCACCAGGACAUUUUUUCAGCACAUGGUCAUCUCUUAUCCUCAUUUUGACCAUUGACUAAUUGUGUGGUGGAGAUAAAAAGGAUUAAAAUUUUAAAGUUUUAAAAACGGGCCAAUGACAUAAUGCCACGUGUCAUGCCUUUAUUAAUUUAUUAUUUUCCUUUUUAAAAGGUACAAAAAUCAGGUCAUCUUCGACCCCAUGGCCGGCCAAACCAGCAAGAAGAGAGAGAAAAUAAAAACAAAACCCUAGAGAGAGAAAAACAAAGAAAAAGUAUGAAUUUUCAAAGAAAUUAAGUGAAAAAUGUAUGAAUUUUCAAGCUUAGCUUAAAAUUUAUCAUUUCCAUGCAUUUCCCAUCAUUUUCCAUGGUUGAAUCAUGUGAUUUGAGGAUGAAUUCAAUUCUGAAAAAUGGGUUAGGAGAGAGAAACUUGUUAGAUUAAUUUGAUUUUAAGUUAUGUUAGUGUUUUAAGUUAGUUUAGUAUAUUUAGGAACAAAACAACAAGAAAAGAAUUCAUUUUCCUCCAUUACCAUUAUUGGCUGAAUUUUCUAGGGGAAUAUUGGCUGUUGAUCUUGAUAUUUAUUUGAGGAAUUAUGAUGAAUAAUGAUAAAUUAUGAGUCUAGAAAAAUAAUGGGAAUUUUCGGAGCAAAAAUACGAAUUUUUACCCAUUAGGGGUAUUUUCGUAAUUUGCUAUCGGGACUGAUAAUUUGCACCACACUGAGGAACAUUAAGUCAAUUUGGGUGCAAUUGAGGUAUAGAAACUGAAAAAAAUUAAUUUGAGAUUAAAUUGGACGCGUUAGUAAUUUAAUCGGUUAAUAGGCCGAAUUAGGUCAGCACUGCAUUUAAGCGGUAGUCGGAUAAGUUGCAUGUCAUAUCAUGCAUAUAUACCGAGCCUGAAUUGAUUUUAUAAUGGUCAAGCAUUGAUGUGGUGAAUUAUGUAUUGUACAUUGUGGAUAGGUGGUGAGCAAAUUACACUGAUAAAAGUACAGAGAUUGUGCUUGAAGAUUGGGGUUAGGAGUAUAUCGACUCCUAGAACUGUGAGUGGACAAUUUAUCGUCUUAAAUAUCUAGAGUAAUUAUAUUUGUUUGAUACUUUUAUUAAAUGGAGAGUUUAAAUUAGAAAAUAUUAUGUUUUCCAAUUAAAAUGUUUUUUUUAAUAAAAAUGAGAUUUAUAUUGGUUUUGAAAUCAAAUAUUGUUUUGGAAAAAUUGAGUAUAUGGAGACUGUGUUGAAAUUUAUGAUUUUAUAUGUUAUUGAAAUUGGGGCUUAUGACACUAUGGUAGCAUGAUGGCUAAAAUUUUGGGAUUGGCAUGAAAUAUAUGAAUAGUUUUGGAUUGGUCUCGGUAGACUGGAUUAAAUUUUAUUCGCCAUAUUAUGCUGCUGAAAAUUUUAUGGGUCUGGUGGUAUAUUAAACGGUCACUGCAGUGGUGGGGGUUUCCGUGGACUGCCUAUGAGAGGGGCACGGUAACCCAAUUAUAUACUUACCUUCAAGGGGAGAUGUUGGGUGAAGUAUCUCCUGAGGUAUGAUUUGAGUGCACCUCACGUUCGGGCCACCACGUGAGAGUGAGACUCAGCCAACGCCAAGGACCAGCUGUGUGUCAGAUGUGAAAACAUGUUUAUGGGUAUGGGUCAUUGAACAGCCUUGGCGGUCUCAGUGGGAUACCUUGACGAAGGUACCCGCGAGAAUGAUUCUGGCAAGGGCCAAGUUUAAGAAAUUCAUAAGCCGAGAAAUUUUGAUGAAAAGAAAUUAUUUGGUAUAGAUUGAAACGAAUUUUGUGUUAUGAACAUUAUUGAGAUAUAAUGUUUUUAAAUUGUCUCCAUCUACUCGGCUUUAGAUGCUUUUGAUGGUAAUUGUUUACUCACUGGGAUUAUUUAAUCUCACCCCUAUUCUUAUCCAUUUUUCAAGCUCAGGACAGUUUGUUGAUAGUUGAUUAAGACGAGAAUUAAUCUCAGAGUUGCAUCCUAGAAAGUAAGGGUUCGUAGCCCUACAUUUUCUUAGUCAGUUGGGGGCCCACAUGUCACUGUAAAAGUAAUUUUAUUCUUCAGUUAUUUGAUUUAAAGUAUGUAUUAAUAUAUUUAGCUUUUACACCAUGUUUUUGGCGAGUUUCGAUAUUUUUGAAGAAAAAUGAUGAAAAUGCCCCUGUAAGCCAGAAAGUAAUAUUUUAUUGUUUUGAUUUGGAAAUGACUUAUGAUUUUUUUGAAAACUGAGAUUUAAUAACUGUCGCUCACUGGGGAGAUGCGGAAGCUGAUGCUAAGCCUUGCGAGGUUUCGAUCGACAUUCAGGGUAAUGAGUGCCUAUCGGGACAUCGCGACGGUUGUCACGGGCUCGAUGGGAGUUUCGGGUCGUGACACAAAAUAUCUAAUGUUGAGUAAAAUGAGACAAUUAAAAUAUUCUAUCUCAAUAUGUAUUUCAUAACAUAAAUAUUCAUUUCAUUUAAAUAAUCAACAUGGCUUAUGAGUAUCUUAAAAGCUUGGCUCCUGCCAAAAUCAUUCUCGAAAAUACCUUGGUCGAGGCAUUUAACCGAGUCUGUCAAGGCUGUUAAAAAGUUUUGUAUACACAUAAACAUAUUUUUAGUUUGGAAAACACAGUCGUUCCUUGGCAUUAGCGGAGUUCAUCAUCACGAGGUGGUUCGACAUGACGUGAACUCUAACCAUACCUCAAGAGAUACCCUACGCGCCUCUCCAACUGAGGUACAUAUAUAACCGGAUUCCGUGCCCCUCUAAUAGGCUGGUCCACAAAACCCGCCCACUACAACAAGCUAAACCCACCAUACAAUAAAAUUUUGACAACAUAACGUGACUAAUAUUAUACUACCCAGCCUGUAGAUGUAAAACAGAACAAUUCAUAAAGUUCACAAACCAUAAUCUCAGCCAGUCAUGCCAACACAUAAUCAUAAGCCAUCAAUUAAAGCCAUAAAUUCCAACACAUCAAGUGGUCUCUAGUUACUCUAUUUUCAAAGCCAUCAUUCAAUUUCAAUAUAAUUUUAUGAAAUCAUUUCAUUAAAUCACAUUUUAUUUAUAAAAUUGAAAAAUUAAUCAUUUAAUUCAUUUUUCAUAAAAUUCACAAAAUCGAAUAAAAAGACCACUUUAGAUAAUUAAAAUGAUGAUAAGGUUACUCACAGUUCUAGGAGUUCGAUAUACUCCUAUUCUCGGUCUUCGGGCAUAAUCUCUUUACCUUUAUUAGAGGGCUCACCACCUAUACAUCAUACGUGACACGAAUUUCAAUAAAUUAUAUCAAUUUAUCAUAAACUAUUUUAGGCUUUAUAAAUCUAUAGGAAUGCAUGAAAUGUGAUGCAAAAUGUCCGAAUAACCGUUUAAAUACGGUAUUCGACUUAAUUCGCACUAUUCUCAGUGUAAUUGGCUAAAACCUCAAAUUUAACUCCAAAUCGAUUUCUUUCACUUUCUACACUCCAAUUAUACUUAAAAUACCUCAAUGACUGUGAAUAUGAUUCAAUUUAUCAGUCCGAACCAUAAAUCGCACAUGUUUAUAGGUAAAAAUUCAGAUUUUCAUGCCAAAAUUUCUCAUUAAAUUUCUAGCCUCACCAAUCAUUAAAUACCACCAAAAUAUCAUGAAAUCAUCAACUUCAGCCUCAAUAUCCUCCCUAGAAAAUUUGGCCUCUUGUGGGUUUGUGAAGAACAAAGUGAUUCCUUGCUAGAUUUUCAUACUUUCCAUUACCAAACAACUAAAAACACUUAAUUAGCUUGAAAUCUAGCAAAAUCAAUGCUCAAAACCUCUCCUCUUAAAUUCGGCCAGCAUGGGUUCAUCAUACAAACUUGAGUUCUAAGCAUGAAAAAUGAAAAAGAAAGCAUGGGUAGUGUAAAUCACAAGAUAAAAUCAUAAAAUUUUACUUUUAUUAGCUUAAUUCCCUGAAAUCUCACACUUUUUCUUCAAUUUUCCCACCUAGGAUUUGUGUUCUUUCCUUUCCUCUUCACUUUUUGUUUUGGGCGGCCAUAUGAAGGAAAUAAGCUGAUUUUAUGCUAAUUUUAAAGCUAAAUAAUAAAUGGAUACAAACUUGACACAUGUCACCAUUUCAUUGGUCCAUGUCUCAUACUUACCCAUUAAGCAAUCUCUCUCCACCACUUAAAUUUUCUCAAUUAUCCAUGAUAAUAUUAGGUAAAAUUCAUGUGCUGGACAAGUGUUGGGUGGUGUAAAAUUACCAUUUUGCCCAUAGGGUGGCAAAAUGACUAUUUUACCCCUAUGUUCGAAAAAUAUCGGAAUUAAAAUUUUUCACUUCUCAAACUCAAAUUAUGUUCUAAAUAGUCAAUCUUGAUCAAAAACUUCUUCCAACAUUCCAAUUUUAACCUCGAGUGGCAAAAUGACCAUUUUGCCCCUGAAUCAUGAAAAUUCUAAUUUGACUUUAAAUCGGUCAUCGAACUCUGAAUCACCAUUUUAAGUCAUUUUGGGACUUUAAAAUUUUCAAUUUCAUCUUAAAAUCUCUCUUUGAUCUAGUUUGAGGCUUAAUUCAACUUAGUUGCACCACUAGGUGCACUACUGACUUUUGAUAAUUUUUUGAGGCUUUUCAAGUAUGCAAGCAUAUUGUCAAUCACAUGAAUGACAUGGCAAGUAUUUAUAAGGUCAGGCUUGACAGCACUACCCCUGUUAAAAUAAAAUUUUGACCUCAAAAUUUCACUUACCGGAUUCGAAGAAAAGAUGUGGAUAUUGGUUUCUCAUCUGAUGCUCGACUUCCCACGUCAUCUCCUCCAUUUGAGCAUUCUUCCACAAUACUUUCACCAUUGGAAUGCUCUUGUUCCUUAGCACUCGAUCCUUUCGAUCUAGAAUACGUACAGGCUGCACCUCGAAUUUCAAAUCUUCAUGCAACUCUAUCGGUGGUGUCUCUAGAAUAUGGGAGGGAUCGAGAACAUACUUUUUCAACAUCGAGACGUGGAAGACAUUAUGGAUCCGAUCUAACUCUGGGGGUAAUUCAAGUUUGUAAGCCACUGGCCCAAUCCUUUCAAUGAUAUGAAAGGGUCCAAUGUAUCUCGAAUUGAGGUUUCCUCGCUUCGCAAAUCGAAUCACACAUUUCAUUAUCCAAUAAAAUACCACAAUUUAUCAUAACAAUAUAAUCAAAUAAGAUUUAAUACUUCAAAAUUUUCAAAUUAUUACCUUUCCAAGGAGAAACCUUAAGAAAAACUUUAUCGUCAACUUCAAACUCCAAAUCUUUCCUUCGUUUAUCAGAAUAACUCUUCUGCCUAUCUUGAGCUAUCUUUAAUCACUCUCGGAUAACCUUAACCUUGUCAUUUGUCAGAUCAUUCAAUUCCACAUUAAUCAGUUUCCUCUCACCCAUUUCAUCCCAACAGAGCGGAGUUCGGCACUUUCUUCCAUACAGAGCCUCGUAUGGUGCCAUCCCAAUACUAGAUUGAAAACUGUUGUUAUACGCGAACUCCACCAAUGGCAAGUGUCUGUCCCAACUCCCAAUAAAGUCAAUGACACAAGCCCGUAACAUAUCUUCUAGAGUCUAAAUAGUCUUUUCAAAUUGACCAUCAGUCUGCGGAUGAAAGGCAGUGCUAAAUCUCAAUUUAGUUUCGAGAACUUCUUGAAAUUUUGUCCAAAAUUGAGAAGUAAACUGAGGGUCUCGAUUUGACACAAUAGAAACUGGAACUCCGUGCAAUCUCACAAUCUCAUCUAUAUAAAGUUUCGUCAGUUUUUCAAUAGAAUACGUGCUAUGGAUAGCCAAGAAAUGGGCGGACUUAGUCAAUCUAUCCACAAUCACCCAAAUAGCAUCCUUCCCACUCUGUGUCCAUGGUAAACCCAAUACAAAGUCCAUAGUCACGUGUUCCCACUUCCAUUCAAGAAUCGGUAAAGGCUGAAGAAUACCCGAUGCUUUCUGAUGUUCCGCCCUGAUCUGUUGGUAUGUGAAACAUUUCGCUAAAAACUCUACUAUGUCUCGUUUCAUAUCCGACCACCAAUAACUUUCUUUAAUGGUCUGAUACAUCUUGGUGCUUCCUAGAUGUAAAGCGUAGGCGGAAUAAUAAGCUUCUUCUAAAAUCGCUUGUCUCAAUUGGUUAUCCUUAGGGAUACAAACUCGGUUUCUAAGCAUCAAAGUACCAUCAUCACUAAGUCUAAACUCACUAGUUUCUCCAUCUUGCAGCUUUUGAACUUCCUGCUUCAACUCAUCAUUGGAUUUCUGCAAUUCUCGGAUCUGAUUCAACAAUGAAGGUCUCACAACGAAACUAGCAAGUAGGGUUCCAUCCUCACCAUUAUUCAACUGGAUCCCUAGAGAUUUCAUCUCAAGUAAUAUCGAAAAAUAAGAACUCUGAAAUACUACUAAUGAAGAUGAGGAUUUAUGACUUAAAGCAUCCGCUACAACAUUUGCCUUCCUCGGAUGAUAAUCAAUCACCAAGUCGUAAUCCUUAAUCAACUCCAACCAUCGUCUCUAUCUCAAGUUAAGCUCUUUUUGGGUGAGCAAGUAUUUCAAACUCUUAUGGUUGGUAAAAAUCCGACAACGCUCACCAUAUAAGUAAUGCCUCCAAAUCUUCAAUGCAAAGACUACUGCUGCUAACUCCAAAUCAUGGGUAGGGUAAUUCAUCUCAUACUUCUUCAACUACCGGGAAGCAUAGGCUAUUACUUUUUCAUCUUGCAUCAAUACGCACCCUAAUCCUAACUUAGAGGCAUCACUGUAUAUCACAAAUUCUUUCUCACCAAUCGAAAGUGUCAGAACGGGAGCGGAGGUUAACUGGUUCUUUGGCUCUUGAAAUCGACUCUCACAAGCAUCAUCCCACUCAAACUUAACUCCUUUACACGUCAAACGAGUCAGAGGAGUAGCUAUCAAUGAAAAUCCUUAAACAAACCUCCGAUAAAAACUUGCUAAGCCAAGAAAACUACGAAUCUCUGUUACCGUUUUCGGUUGCUUCCAUUGCAAGAUUGCUUCAAUCUUCUUGGGAUCGACAUAAAUUCCAGCUUUAGACACCAUAUGUCCCAAGAAAACCACUUCCUUCAACUAGAAAUCACAUUUAGAGAACUUGGCAUAGAGUUGUCUCUCGCGUAAAGUUUGCAACACGAUGUGUAAAUGGGCAGCAUGUUCAUCAUCAUUCUUCGAAUAAACCAGGAUGUAAUCUAUGAAUACUAUCACGAACUUAUCCAAGUAUGGAUGGAACACCCUAUUCAUAAGAUCCAUAAAAGCUGCCGGGGCAUUGGUCAAACCAAACAGCAUCACCAGAAACUCAUAAUACCCAUAACGCAUCCUAAAAGUAGUCUUGGGUACAUCUUGCUCUUUAAUCUUCAACUGAUAAUACCCAGACCUCAAAUCAAUCUUAGAAAACACCAUAGCACCUCGUAAUUGAUCAAAAAGAUCAUCGAUCUGUGGUAGAGGGUAUUUAUUCUUGAUGGUCACUCGAUUCAGCUGACGGUAAUAGAUACACAAUCGAAGAGUGCCAUCUUUUUUUUUACAAAUAGGACUGGUGCUCCCCAAGGAAAAGUGCUAGGGUGAAUAAAAUCCUUAUCCACCAAAUCUUGCAGCUGGACUUUUAGUUCCUUCAACUCCGUUGAAGCCAUUCGAUAUGGAGGGAUAGAAAUAGGUGCGGUACCCGGAAGUAAAUCAAUAGGGAACUCAAGCUCUCGCUCAGGAGGUAGUAUUGGUAACUCAUCAGGAAAUACGUUAAGAAACUCACUUACUAUUGGGACAUCCUCUAACCUAGGUUCCCCUUUUGAAGUAUCGAUCACGAGUGCCAAAUAAACCGGAUACCCUUUCUGUACUAGUUUCAAAGCCUUAAUGGCCGAGAUUACACAGGAUGGUAAUACUCGACGUUUCCCUGCAAAUAUAAUCUCUGUUCCCUCCGAAUUCUAAAAAAUAACUUCUUUCCUAAAAUAAUCUACAUUCGCCCGAUGUGCAGUUAACCAGUCCAUACCCAAUAUCAAAUCAAAAUGUUGGAUCUCUAGAGGAAUCAAGUCACCCCUAAAUUCUUCCUCACCAACCAUUACUCCACAAUCUUUGUAAUAACUAUUUUUAACUAGCUUCUCUCCUAAAUGAGUGUGAAUUACAAUUUCUUCCUCUAAUGGUGACAUGUUUUUAUAAACAAUUGAUGCAAAUGCCAUACUCACAUAAGACCUAUUUGAGCCAGAAUCUAUCAAAACAUAAGCAUCUUUAUCAAAUAAAAACAUAGUACCUGUCACUACUCCAGGUCGAACCCGUGCCUCAUCUUCAAUCACAGCGAAGACUCUUGUCAAAGUACGAGUCUGUGGUCUUGAAGGUGGAUACGCCGAGGUGUUACUCUCUACACUAGACUGUAUAGCCACUCCCUGCCUCAGUGGUAACCCAGAAAGAUCUCUCCUCUACAUAUCCGUACGAGCUGGUGGAGAUGGAGUAAUUGCAGUAGCCCGUCCUAGUUGUGGGCACUCACUCUUAAUGUGGCCCGGCUGAUCACAAUGAUAACAUCGUACUGGUCCCCUACACUGCCCAAUAUGAUUCUUUCCACACCUUUUGAAUCUAUCAGAACUUCUGAAACUCUUCCCAAAAUAAGUCAUCGCAGAUCUACUGAAUCUCAGAGGCCUCUGCUGUGCUUGUGAAAAUAGAGGUCGAGGAGAUGUCACUGAAACAGAGGUAGUACUCCUUGAAGCAGAUGAGUCUUUGCUCCUUUUUGGUGGUUGACUGGAAGAUAUACUCAGAUUUUUCCUCUUUGCAAACUCUGUCUGAAUCUUCCUAUUUUCAUUUGCAAGCUUCUCGGCCUUAAAGCCAUCUGUACCACCUCUUUAUGUGGCUCCCUACCAGUCACUGUCAUCCGCUCUCUAAUCUCAUUACGGAGCCCUUCCUCAAAAUAACUGGCCUGAUAUUGCUCAAAUUUCACCAGAUCCGACACAUAUAACAUCAACUCGUUAAAACGAGUCUUGUACUCCUCUACCAUUAAGUUUCCCUGUUUCAAACUCAGAAAUUCUUUCUUCUUUUUUUUCUGAUGGAAAUAAGUGAAAUACUAACCAUCAAAUUCUCUUAGAAAGUCUGACUAGGUCAGAGGAGUAGUGGAAUGGGAUUUUACUGAAUUCCACCAUGUACGGGCUCUCUUCUCUUGUAAUCUCGUGGCCACCAUUAGCUUCAGGUGAUCAUCCAACCUCAUAUCAGACAAUGUCUCCGAAACUUGAUUAAUCGAAGCUUUGGCUACGGUGGCAUCCAAAUCGCCCGUAAAAAAAAUGUAACCCAAUUGUCUAGCUUCCUUCAACUUCUUAGCAAUAGAUACAUCUUGUACUGGCGGUGGAACUAGAGGUGGGGGUGGUGGUACUGAAGGAGCAAUUGGUGGUACUAUAGGAGGAGCUUGACUAGCUUGAGCCUGGCCAACAAUAGCGGUAAAGAAAGCUGCUAAUGCUUGGACUACCUCAGGAGACAUGGCAGGAGUACCAGUAGGUGGCAGAGGAUGUGAAGAAUGUGGAGAAUGUGGAGGAGUCUCGGCCUGCUCAGCAGCAGGUGCUUCCCGAAUGGUGAAUGCAGCCGGUUCCUCCUUUACUGCAUCUAGUUGACGACGUUGGGAACGACCUCUUCCCCUCCCAACCGAUCUAGUGAGAGGUAGGAGUCCACGUCGAGGAGGCAUGGCAAUCUAUACAAGGGAACAAGGCAAAUUUAAUCAACCUUAGACUUUAUAUGUAGUUGCAUACAUUCUAUUCAACCUAACCUAACUUAACUUAACUUAACUAGGGGCCACACUGACACUAUAAAUUUUAAAAUGACUUUAAAACUAAAAACUCUGAUCUUUAAAACCAAAAACUCUGAUACCAAUCGAAUUGUCACGACCCGAAACUCCCAUCGAGCAGGUGACAACUGCCGCGACGUCCCCGAUAGACAUUCAUUACCCAAAAUGUCAAUCAAAACCUAGCAAGGCUUAACAUCAGUUUUCUCGCUUCCCCCAUGAGUAUUAGUUACUAAAAUCAUGUUUUGAGAGAUUAUAAACUAUUUCGGAUUGAAAACAAUAGAAAAAUAAAUUUUUCCUCCCAGGGGCAUUUUGGUAAUUUUUCCUCAAAAAUCUCUAAAUCCGCUAAAAUGUAGUAAGCGAGUACAAACACGUAAUUCAUAAUAAAAAAUAAGUUUAAACAUCUAACACCUUCAUUUAAAAUGAAAUUACGAUUAUUUGAAUAUAAUAAAAAUAUUCAAUAAAAUAUUCUAUUUUCUUAUUAAACACUAUUUUUAGAGUUAUAUGUAAAUAAUUUUUUUUACAGCGUAAAAGCAAAAUAAAUUCAUACAUAUUGUAAUACAGUAAACCAAAAUAUUUAAUUUAAUUUACAAUAACCAGUGGGCUCCCGUAUAACCAAAAGUAAAGGGAGACUGUGAACCUACAGUUUGGAAGAUGUAACCCAACGGUAGCCUCGGUGAAAUAAGCUAUCUACUGCCUAUUUUGAGCCUGAAAUGGGUGAAAAGGAGGGUGGUGAGAUUUUAUAAUCCCAGUGAGUAAACAAACACCAUUCAAAAUAUCUAAAGUUUAGUAAAAGGAGACGAUUAAAAUAUUCUAUUUCAAUAUGUAUUUCAUAACAUAAAUAUUCAUUUCAUUUAAAUAAUCAACAUGGCUUAUGAAUAUCUUAAAAGCUUGGCUCCUACCAAAAUCAUUCUAGAGAAUACCUUGGCCGAGGCAUUUAACCGAGUCCGCCAAGACUGUUAAAAAGUUUUGUAUGCACAUAAACAUAUUUUUAGUUUGAAAAACACAGUCGUUCCUUGGCGUUAGCGGAGUUCAUCAUCACGAGGUGGUUCGGCGUGAUGUGAACUCUAACCAUACCUCAGGAGAUACCCUACGCGCCUCUCCAACCGAGGUACAUAUAUAACCAGAUUCUGUGCCCUUUUAAUAGGCUGAUCCAUAGAACCCGCCCACUGCAGCAAGCUAAACCCACCAUACAAUAAAAUUUUGAUAGCAUAACAUGACUAAUAUUAUACUACCCAACCUGUAGAUGUAAAACAGAACAAUUCAUACAGUUCACAAACCACAAUCCCAGCCAGUCAUGCCAACACAUAAUCAUAAGCCAUCAAUUAAAGCCAUAAAUUACAACACAUCAAGUGGUCACCAGUUACUCUAUUUUCAAAGCCAUCAUUCAAUUUUAAUACAAUUUUAUGAAAUCAUUUCAUUAAAUCACAUUUUAUUUAUAAAAUCGAAAAAUUAAUCAUUUAAUUUAUUUUCCAUAAAAUUCACAAAAUCGAAUAAAAAGACCACUUUAGAUAAUUAAAAUGAUGAUAAGGUUACUCACAGUUCUAGGAGUUCGAUAUACUCCUAUUUUUUGGUCUUCGGGCACAAACUCUUUACCCUUGUUAGAGGGCUCACCACCUAUACAUCAUACGUGACACGAAUUUCAAUAAAUUAUAUCAAUUUAUCAUAAACUAUUUCAGGCUCUAUAAAUCUAUAUGAAUGCACGAAAUGUGAUGUAAAAUGUCCGAAUAACCGUUUAAAUACGAUAUUCGACAUAAUUCGCACUAUUUUCGAUGUGAUUGGCUAAAACCUCCAAUUUAACUCCAAAUAGAUUUCUUUCACUUUCUACACUCCAAUUAUACUUAAAAUACCUCAAUGACUGUGAAUAUGAUUCAAUUUAUCAAUCCGAACCAUAAAUGGCACAUGUCUAUACAUUAGGUAAAAAUUCAGAUUUUCAUGCAAAAAUUUCCCAUUAAAUUUCUAGCCUCACCAAUCAUUAAAUACCACCAAAAUAUCGUGAAAUAUCAUCAAUUUCAGCCUCAAUAUCCUCCCUAGAAAAUUCAGCCUCUUGUGGGUUUGUGAAGAACAAAGUGAUUCCUUGCUAGAUUUUCAUACUUUUCAUAACCAAACAACUAAAAACACUUAAUUAGCUUGAAAUCUAGCAAAAUCAAUGCUCAAAACCUCUCCUCUCAAAUUCGGCUAGCAUGGGUUCAUCAUGCAAACUUGAGUUCUAAGCAUGGAAAAUGAAAAAGAAAGCAUGGGUAGUGUAAAUCACAAGAUAAAAUCACAAAAUUUUACUUUUAUUAGCUUAAUUCCUUGAAAUCCCACACUUUUUCUUCAAGUUUCCCACCUAGGGUUUGUGUUCUUUCCUUUCCUCUUCACUUCUUGUUUUGGCCGGCCAUAUGAAGGAAAUAAGCUGAUUUUAUACUAAUUUUAAAGCUAAAUAAUAAAUGGAUGUAAACUUGACACAUGUCACCAUUCCAUUGGUCCAUGUCUCAUACUUACCAAUUAAGCAAUCUCUCUCCACCACUUAAAUUUUCUCAAUUAUCCAUGAUAAUAUUAGGUAAAAUCCAUGUGCUGGACAAGUGUUGGGUGGUGUAAAAUUACCAUUUUGCCCCUAGGAUGGUAAAAUGAUUUUUUUACCCCUAUGUUCAAAAAACUAUUGAAAUUAUAAUUUUUCACUUCUCAAACUCAAAUUAUGUUCUAAAUAGUCAAUCUUGAUCAAAAACUUCUUCCAACAUUCCAAUUUUUAACCUCGAGUGGCAAAAUGACCAUUUUACCCCUAGAUCAUGAAAAUUCCAAUUUGACUCCAAAUCGGUUCUCAAACCCCGAAUCACCAUUUUAAGUCAUUCUAGGACUUUAAAAUUUUCAAUUUCAUCUUAAAAUCUCUCUUUGAUCUAGUUCGAGGCUUAAUUCAACUUAGUUGCACCAUUAGGUACACUAUCGACUUUUGACAAUUUUUCAGGGCUUUCCAAGUAUGUAAGCAUAUUGUCAAUCACAUGAAUGACAUGGCAAGUAUUUUAUAAGGUCGAGCUUGACAGUUAAACUAUCAAAUAUUUAAAUGUUAUAAUGUAAUUUAAAGGUAAAAUAUAUAUGUAAUAAUAAUAAUAUUUACUCUUAACAUUAUAAUCAUAUAAUAAUAAGUAACAUUAGCACUUAACGUUAAUAUACAUAACAUUAGCAAUAAUAUACAUGUACGUGAAGAUUUAAAGUAAAUUUAUUUUAAAAUAUAAAAUAAUAAACAAAAUUUUUUAAAAAUUUGAAUAUUUUACCUUUAUUCAUACAAUGUGGAGAUGAUAAUGACUUUGCUAAAUUUAGGUUAUUUGAGAAUUCUUUGAUUGGAACCGCCUUUAACUAGUAUAUAGCCUUACCCCCAAACUCAAUGCAAAGUUGGCUUCAGUUUAAGGCCAUGUUCCAUGCACAGUUUACAGAACUAGGCCUGACAUAACUAUGGCUGAUCUAUCCAAAAAGAGAUUAGGCAACAACCUAGGCAAAACUUGGAGGACUUUAUUGCUAAGUUUAGGAAUGUUAAAGCUAAAAUGCAUGUCCAAUUACUAAAAAGAAAAUAUGUGAGCAUGGCCAGGAGUGGUCUAAGUCCUAAGUUAAGGAAAAAACAUUUGAGGAUAGAGAAUUUAUGGACCUUUUUAGCUUGCAACAUGUGUGUCAAAAUAUGAGUUUUUCUUCAAGAAGAACAAUAAAGAAAAUGCAUCUGAGCAUUUGAUUCAUUGAUUAAUAUAUGAUUCUUUAUUUAGAGAGCAACGUUUGAAUUUCUAUCCUUCUAAUUAAAAAAAAAAAACAAAGAAAAUGCCAACUUAGGUCAUCUUACUUUGCAACCAAUGAGGUUAACAAGGAGAAAAAGAUAGUGCUAUGGAAAAGGAUUUUGAAGUGAGUUUUGUCUAAAUUGGUGAUUAAUAACUCUCAAACAUGCCAAGAUUGGUUAAUUUAAACCAAAAUAGAAUUGUAAAAUAGGUUAUAUAGGAAAGCAAAACAAUCAAAAGUUUACUAGUAGGCAAUUUACAUUUGAUUUAACAUAAGUAGAUCAGAUUUUUGAACAUCUGCCGAAGAUAAGAAGAUAAAUUGCUUGAAGGACAUGUUUUAUCAUCAUCAGAUGUGAUUGGAAAAAGAUAUUGUAAAUGACAUAAUAAAGGGUCUCAUAGUAUUAAUAGUUGCCUUGUUAUUUUUUCUUCCAUGUGUCGAAGAUACUAUUAAAAAAGGGGAGUUAAAAUUUUCAGAAAAAGGGUAAAAACUUCAAGGGUAAUUUUUACGAUUCAAAUUUGGGGUCCAUGAUCGACUCAUAGGGCUAACGAGAGAACUCGCCUAACCCAAGUAAGCCUUUAACCAACAUCCAAAUGAUGACCAACAAAUGUAAUCCUUAAAAUGUGUAUAUAAUCUCUCUUUCUAUGUAUAUAAUCAACAAAGAAAUUUCAGUUGCCUCACAUGUUCAUGUAGGAUCACAAGUUCUACAACCUUUCUAAACAGUCAUAUAAUUUCAUAUUGUUGUAAACAUAACUGGAUGCAAAAUAUAGUUUAUUUAUCAUCCCAUGCCUUUCCUUGGCUAAAAACAAUGUAUACUUGUAGUAUAAAAUCCAAAGCAAAACAUGACACGACUAGCGGAGUGAUAGGACUCAAGGUAUAUAUGUAUUGGAUGCUUUCGCGGUGACCUACCAAGUGUGAUAGUGGCGGAGUCAAGGUUUUGCGAUUAAGGGGGCAAAGACAAUGUCUAUAAAAUAGUCAUAUUAGAAGUUCAAUGUUUGAAAAAAAUAUAAAGUAAUUUAGAUGAAAAAUAUUCAUAUGAAAAUUACACAAAUAACUCCAACUAUGUGUUGAGUACAAAAAAAAAAGAUAUUUUUUAACAACUAUUGCAUAUUAAGCUUGGACAUCUUUAAUUGAGCUCGACAAUCUUUCAUAAAGUUAAAGGCAUCUGUCCCUGAAUCAAUGUCAAAGCCUUGAAUGAUUUCCUUUUCAAUGAGAUUGAUUAACGAAUUUCUAAAAUCAUCAUCUCACAUUUUAUUACGAGUCUAUUUCUUAAUGAGUUUCAUAGCAAAAAAUGCAUGCUCUGAUGUUGUAGUGGAAACUGAAAAAGUUAAGACAAGCUGGAUCAAUUUGUCAAUGAGGAAAUAAACUUUUGAUAUUUUUGUCUUCUUUAACACUUGAUAUAGCUUAGAAAGUGUAGAUACAUUUUUCAAAGCCUGAUUAUGAAGAAUGUCAAACUUGAAUAGAACCAAUUAAUAGCUUAGAUGCAUUUUACCAUUAUUAGUAAAGUCAUCAAAUCAACAUCAAAUGAUUUGAAAUUAUUCUGAAAGUCCCAAGAUGUGCCAGGAAUGAGCAACUCCACCACAUUCUUAUUAAAUCUAAAAUCCAAUGCUUGUAAGAGUGAGUCAAUAGCAACUAGAAACAAAUCAGCUUGACAAUGGUGCUCAAUUGUGGCAUGAUCCUUUUGAAGAUGACAUUUGCCUAAUUUAUAUCUAGCCCCCAUGUCAUGAAUCCCAAUUUCAUAUCUCUCACAAAACUUCUUCACUGACACAAGCAAAGGUUCCCAACCAUCUUCUCUUAAUUGUUGGAGGUGCUUUUUAGUAAGCGAUACUAAAUGAAUUGCAUAUAGUAUGUCUUGAGACUUAAGUUGUAAACUUUUGAAAGGUCAUUUCUUAUCUCCAACAAUUCUUUCAUAAGAUGCAAGAUAAACACAAAUUCAAAUGACAUAUUGGUUUAUUAUAAAACUAUAAAAUAAAAGGACAAAAUUAUAGACUUAUUGUAGGGACAAAAUUAUAAAAUUCUAAAAAAAAUAAAGGUAUGUUAUAAAAUUAUUGUAGGGGCAAAAUUAUAAAAUUUCAAAAAAAUAAAAGUUGUUAUAAAAAUUUCAAAACUUUUAGGGAGGGCCGAGGGCCUACUAGCCCUUAUUUCCUCUACCUCUAAAGUGUCACGAACCAAGGACUCCACAAGUACGCCACCCAAAAGAUCUACUAAUCUGUAAACAAAAUAAUCCACGAGUGUAAGAUAUAAAAUCUUAAUGAGCAAAUAGAAGGAAGGGGAAAAAGCCAACCAGGGGAGUAGUUCGUAAGCAAAAUUCAAAGAUUAUGCAAUUUUAGAUAAUAUAUCAACAAUAACCUUUCAAGGCAAUCAAGUGUUCUCAACCUUACUUCCAUAAGAUAAAAUUCUACAUGAAGUCCCUAGACUCUCGGUCUAAAAUUUCUCAACCAAAUUUCCAUAGACAAGGCUUAAGUAACCAACAUAGUGCCCAUGACUUUAUAGAGAUAGACCUUUUGGAGUGUAGGGGUGGACCCUCCCCUAAAAUAAAACAUUGUUCAUGUGUUUUGAUGGCUAAAGAUUGACCCUUUAAAAUGUAAUGGUUGAUCCUCACAUCUCUAUUUUUCAUCCACAACCACAAUUUUACUCAAUGUGUUUCAAAUAUCCAAAUUGACACAUCCUCAAGGUGUAAUUUAUAUACAACAUGGUUUAUGUAAAGAGUUCAAAUGUCUAAUAGUACAUUACGAGUGACUCAAUCACAACACAAGAAUAAUGCUUCAAUAUUAUCAGCAAAUUCACACUAUAUUCCAAACAUUCGAAGUAUGUAUCCAACAUAAUGCGAUGUGGAUCCAAGUAUGAUAUUAAGCUUACAAAACGUGUUCAUCAACCCAAUUAAUCCAUCAACCAAUUAGUCCAAUAAUCCAAUACGUGCCACGACACAUAACGAAACAUACAAGGACAUGUAUCAAAACAUGUAAGGAUAAGGAAUCAAACAUGCAAGGCAUUCGAGUGAUUCCAAUAUGUAUCCACAUAUACAAAUUCUAAUAUACUAAAAUGUAUAAUUCUAAACAUGAUAUAUACAAAAAAUCCCAAAUGUGCUAAGGCAUGUCAUUCCAAAAUAUGCUAAGGCAUUUUAGCCCACACACAAAUUUGUUCUAAAUUUAGUUAGCAUGCAAUUUUCACAAAUGAUAACAAACAUUUCAACCCAUACAUAGCCAAACAUUUCAUAGCAUAAUACUCAGUCAGUUACUACCAUUCAAAAUAGAUACAAGUUAUGUAUCACACAUUUGAAAUGAAAUUUCCAACAAUAAAGGCUUGUUCCCCGUAUGAAAACUAAUAUGUAAUAUUCAUGUUUACAUAUACUAGAUUACAAAUCAACAUUUCUAAAACCAUUUGACAUCACAACAAAUCAAGUGGUUAUCCAUACUGUUGUUGAUUUUCUACGCACUCAAGUGCACAUAUCUCAAAGAUAAUAUAGAGAUGAGUAGAGUGUCGAUCCCAUAGAGAAUUGAAUUAAUCCUUAUUGUUAAUUACUAAAAUUAACACACCUUAAUUUUAUCUAAACAAUUAAAAUUAUAAAAGAAAAAUUUAAGUUAACAAACUAAAAACUAAAACUAAUAUAUUAGCAAAUUUUACUUCUAGUGAUUAACAUACCUAAGAUUAUGAUAUCCUUCAAUAUUUCAUCUGAAUAUUGUCUAUCUUUUUUAACUUAGUUUAAUGGAUUAAGUUGGUAACCUAGAGUCCUAAAUUAUUUAUAAGUCUCUAUCGAGUUUCUUAUAAAAAUACCUCUCCCAAUUAAUUUACUAUAUAUCUAUGCAAAUUAUAUUGAAGAAAAAUUCAUUAAGUUUGUGCUCUAAUUUUGGCUAUGUAUAGCUUAUAGGUGUAUGUUUACCCUAUAUGUAAAUCAAACCACCUAGUUAACUAAGUGUAUUCGAUCAUAUGCUAUUCUAUUCAAGGUCGACCUAAAUCUCCUUUAUCAAGGUUUAACCCAGGUUUUCAAUUCAUUAUAAUUGGUGGCCAGUCAACUAGAAGCAUUAAGAACAGAAUAAAAUAAACAACUUAAAUCUAUCAAACAUCAGUAAAAGAGAGAUAAAUAAUUCAUACUACGUAUUGAGAUCAAUGAUAAUCUUAGAUUAACAAUUUAGUUCCCCAUCAAGUCACACAUUAUAAUUGACUAAAAUCUAAACUUUAAAAACAAAACCAAGAAAAUAAGAUAAUACAAAAAUAUAGAAAAACUCAAGAAUUGUAUUCUUGAUUUCCAAAUCUCCUUGAAUCCUACAAAUUCUUCUUAGCUUCAAUGACUUUGUGGCUUGACUCUCAACUGUUAAUCUGGUGUUUCUUUGUUAUUUUUUUUUCUCCUCUAAAAGGUUGUUUUUAUAGGCUUUGAAGUUAGGCCAAGUUGGGUGAAGAAAGAAGUCAAUUUCAGCUAGGAUUUUCUCAUCAGACUAUGUAAGUCACAACCUUGCCUAAUUAAUUAACAGAAAUCGUAAUUACUCUAGGACUGCUACAAUGCAUCAACUUUGACAAGAUUUUUAACCAUCUUUCAAGCUGAACUGGGUGAAGUGUUAAACAUAAAAGUUGUAGCUUUUUCUCUUAUCUUUCCAAUGGUUCAAGAAUCGCUUCAUUUGGAGCUCUGUAGACCAAAAUACCAAAACAUAUGUAGUGGAAGUCUGCACCUUAAAAUAGCUCUUAUUCUUUCACUAAAAUUCUUAUUUCAUCAAAUACCUACAAAAACACAAAUAAAUUAAUAACAACCUAUCUUAACCAUAUUAACAUCAAAUUAAGCAUAAAAUUAACUAAGAUUAGAUUGACUCACCUAAAUUAACUAAUCUAAAAUAAUUAAAUCAAAUCUACUAAUUUUUAUGCAUUAUUACAAGAACUAAGCUAAAUCACUAUCAAAAUUAAGCUCAAAUAACUCUAUAUCAUAGAGUUAUCAAACCCCAAACUUAGUAUUUUUCUAGUCCUCGAGCAAAACAUAGAAAAGAACCUACCUUACGAAAAUCAAAUUCAGUUAAUGAAAACUCAAAUAAAUAUAGUUACUACUACUACUACUACUACUGCUACUACUGCUGCUGCUACUACUACUAUUACUACUACUACCAGAGAUAAAGUGCACCAACUGAAUGAUUCCUUAUAAUUUCUUCAAAAGUAUGUCUAUCAAUCAUUAACAAAAGGAAAAAUAUAGGCCUCAUUCAAAUUCGUGUUUCAAUUCUAAUGCAAGCACAUUCUCGAAUGGAUUUUCAUGUGUGUGUGUGAAAUCUUUUACCAAAAAUAUCAUGACAUCCGGAUAAGUUUAUGCCAACACAAAUUUCAAAUUAGUAUUAGAUUUCCAUAGCUUUACUUUUUAUCUCUCUUUCCACUAAUGUAGAUUAAUACAAAGCUAGGGAUCAAUAGGACUUUAUAAAGCUUGUAAUGUAUGGCAAGGGUCAAGUUAUGAUAAAGGAUAUUAAUGUGGCUCAAAUCACCCUAAGCACAUAAUUAAUCUAGGGUAUUAAUAAUUCUAGGACCUAUACAUAAAGCUCUAUUUUCCUUUUCCAAGUACACAUUUUUUUCCACAUUUGAACUUUUCUUUCAUUCAACACAUUCUUUUUCGACAAUUUCACACUCCCAAACUUAUUUUCUUUAUAUUGUAGGUAAUGGGGUUUCAUAUUUUGAACUUUUUUUUCCACAUCAACAUCACCUUUUCACCUUUUUCAACAUUUAACUCAAUUUAUAUUUCCUAAAACAAUAUACAUGCUUAGGAGUGAGGAUUGCAAAAUUGAAAAAUUAAUUUUAAGGCUAAGCUCAAUUAUUAUGUAGUUAAACAAAGAAAAGGGAACUUAGGCUCACAAGGGGUGUACUAGGGAUAAAAAUUUAAUAAGGUUGGCUUUUUAAGUUCAAAUGGUCCAAAGAUGGCCUAAAUCAUGUCCCUAACUAAGUAUUGCUUAGGAUUUCACCUCAAGAGAAAAUUAAGCAAAUUUUAGAAUUCAUGACAUAAUCUAAAGUUACAUCAAUAUAAACUUUCUCUAGAUAUUCAGAAUAAUUCAAAGUAAAAGAUAUAGUACUCAAAAUUAUGAAAAUCACAUCCUAACAAUAAUACUUAACAAAAGUAUUUAGCAUGAAUCCAAACAAAAACCUUAUUCACCAAAAGCUAAGAAUUUUAAACAACUAGUUAUCAUCAAUGGAUAAGAAAUCAUCGAAAAAAUUAGCACAACUUAACUCUAGAUUUCUAAAAUUUAAACAAAUAAUAAAUUCAUAUACCAACUAAUCUUAAAUUAUUUAUAAAUCUAGAUAAUCAUGUCAGUAAAAUUAAAUCUAAAACUUUCACAGAAUAUUUACCACAAGAAAAAUAAAUUCACCCCUCCAAAUUUAAACUAAACAUUGUCCUCAAUAUUAGAAAAAAAUAAAGGAAAGGUAAAGAAUACUCCCCUGAUUAUUGGAUGAAUUUUUUAGAAGCUCGAAUCCUCCUCGUCCUUUUGUCAUCUACGUCAUUCUCACCUUUUAGGAGGAAUUUUUUUUUAUUUUUUUAACUACAAAAAGAAAAUAAAUAAAAGUUAAUGUAGAAAUAAAUAAAUAAAAUAAAAAUAACUAAAAAGAAAAUAGGGGCUUUAUUGGGUAAUGGGUGGCCUAAAUAAACAAGAGGGGAUUGGGUUUGGUUAGUGGGUAGUGGGUAGUGGGUAUUAGGCUGUCCAAAUAAAAAAAAAAAGGGAAUUGGGUUUGGUCAGUGGGCUACCCAAUGUUGGCAGCCCAAUAAAGAGGUUAUGGUAAAUGGGCUACCCAAUGUUGGCAGCCCACAGCAAAAGGGGGCCGCGGCCUACCUCUGAGGGGAGUCGCAGCCCACUAUCAGGAAACCUAUAAGGGUGCAGCCCCACUAGCUUUUUAUUUUUAUUUUUUUGUUAAUUGAGUCGUGGCUUCGAGCCUAGUGAGCUGUUGCUCAUGUGAUUUGUUGUUCGGGAAGCCAAGGAUUACCACCUUUUUUUUUAAUUCUUUUUGAACUUUUUUUAAAGUUUUUUUUAAAUGUUUUUGAAUUUUUUUUUAAAUGUACUUGCAUAAGUAAAAAAAGUAUUAAUAAUCUAAUAAUAAAAAUAAAAAUAAAUAAAAUAAAAUAAAAUAAAGUAAGUUAGAGUGCUUGGGUUGUCUCUUAAAAAGCUCUUCUUUGUAGUCACUAGCUUGACUAUGGUACCCCCUUCUGCACUACUUUAGACGGCUCGAGACUUUCUUUAUUAACCUUGGCUACUCCGGUAAGUCCACUAUAAAUUUCAAUAUCAUCAUAAAGAUGAAUUUUGACCACCUUAAAGGUGUUCCCCCAACAUGGUCUAAGAUUCCAUGGCAAAAGAUGGAGUUGUGAAUCAAAAAAUACUACUCGUUGUCCAACCACAAAAUCAAGAUAGCUGGAAAGUGGUGGUGGUGGUUUUGUCUCAAGCGUUGGCACCUACGUUGUUGAAUGUGGUGGAAUAGGCUUACCUUUACCCUUAUUGACUAAAUCCACUUUAUAGCAACCUAUAUAGGGAUACUAAGUUACAUUGAACAAAUUAAAUACCACUUUCUUUUCUCCAACUCUAAAAGUUAUUUUGCCCAUCUUCACAUCAGUAAUUGCUUCAUUGGUAGCUAAGCAUGGUCUUCUCAAAAUAAGAGGAAUUUCAACAUCAUCUUCAAUCUCAAGCGCAACGAAGUCCACCGAAAUGUAUAAAUGCCCAACUUUAAGUAAAACAUCCUCUAUAAUCUCGAUUGGGUGUCUGAUUAUUCUGUCUGCUAAUUGCAAGGUAACUGUAGUAGGUUGUACUAUUGAAAUCCAAGAUUUCUGGUAAUAGACAAAGGCAUUAUUGAAACUUUAGCACCUAAAUCACAUAAAACUUUAGAAAUUUUAAAAUUACCAAUAGUGCAAGGAAUAGAAAAACUCCCUAGAUCUUUAAGCUUUGGUGGAAGCUUAUUUUGGAUUAUAGCACUGCACUCUUCAGUAAGUGCAACUGUCUCAAACUCUUCCAAUUUCCUCUUUUUGGUUAGGAUGUCUUUCAAGAAUUCGAGAUAAUUGGCAUUUGUUCUAAAGCUUCAGCAAAAGGAAUAUUAAUGUGUAGUUUUUUAAAUACCUCAAGAAAUCUCUAGAAUUGUUUGUCAAGUUUUUGCUUUUGAAAACGUUAAGGAAAAGAUGGUAGAGGUGUGGGUGCAGAUGGUGAUUUUUCUUUUGAAUUUUCAAUAGAUUUUUCAACCAUAAUUUCUUUUUCAGCAUUUUUUUCAAUUUCAUUUUCAGCAGAUUGCAUUGAAAUCUCAAAAUUUAACACUUGAUUACUUACCUCUUUACGUACCUCUUUUCCAUUACGGAGAGUGAUUGCCAUACAAUGUUCCUUGCCUUUUCUUCUUGGGUUAGGUUCAAUGUCACUUGGUCAGGUACCAUAAGGUCUAGUAUUUAAAGCAUUGGCAAGUUGGCCUACUUGUAUCUCAAGAUUUCUAAUUGAAGCUGCUUGAUUGUGAAUGGAGGCAUCAGUCUUUAUCAUAAAUGCAUUAGUCUUUGUUAUAAAUGCAUCAGUCUUUGUCAUGAAUGCAUCAGUCUUUGUUAUGAACGGUAUAAACAUAUCCUCCAUUAAAGGCUUUUUCUCUGGCAUAGGGGCUCUAGAUGAAAAUCCAAGAGGAAAGUUUGACUUAGCUGCGGAUGAAGACCCUUGGUUGUUAUUCCAUGACAAAUUAAGAUUAUUCCUUUAACCGGGAUUAUAAGUGUUGGAAUAGGGAUUAGUUUGUUGCUAAUUUCCAAUAAAUUGACAAGACUCAAAAUAGAUGGGACAAUUGUCAUUGGAACGUUCUUCCCCACAAAAUUCAUAUGUCAUAAAGGAGUUCUAAACAACAUUAACACUCAGUUGAUCUAUUUUCUUUGCAAGAGAGGUCAAUUGUGUAGAAACAGUGUUCAUCACAUCUAAUUCAUGAAUUCCAGCAAUAUUUCUUAUACCCAAUCUUUCAAAUGGCCAUUGAUAAUUAUUAGAAGCUAUCUCUUCGAGCAAAUCAUAAGCCUCAUCAAUGGAUUUACUCAUGAGUCCACCUCUAGUGGCAGCAUCAAUGGUAGUUCUAAAAAGUCCCAGCAAACCAUUAUAAAAUGUUUGAACUUGUAGCCACUUAGAUAAUCCAUGGUGAGGACACCUUCUUAUUAAAUCCUUAUACCUCUCCCAAGCCUCAUCUAGUGAUUCAGAAUCGAAUUGCAUGAAAGAAGUGAUAUCAUUCCACAUCUUCGCUGACUUUGCAGAUGGGAAGAAUUUUGCUAAGAAUUUUUUAGCCAAAUCAUCCCAAGUAUUAAUGGAACCAGCAGGAAGCAAAUUUAACCAACUUUUUGCUUUAUCUCUUAAUGAAAAAGGGAGAAGCCUCAAUCUUAUGGCAUCAUCAAUAACACCAUUAGCCUUGAAUGUAUCACAGAUUUUCAAGAAAUUUAUAAUAUGAGCAUUCGAAUCAUCAUUAGGCAAACCCCCAAACUGAACAGCAAUCUAAAUCAUCUGAAUGAUUGAUGGUUUAAUUUCAAAGUUGUUGGCUUGAAUAGGAGGUCUUCGAAUACUAGAGUGGAGAUUUUAUACUUGUGGGACUACAUAAUCCCUCAAAGGCUUGGUCUCUUCUCUUGUUGAUCAGCCAUUAUUUUACUUGGAGCAGAAACUUUUUCAUUUUUCCUCCGAAGUCUUCAAAAUUUUUUUUCGAUUUCUAGAUCAAAAGGAAUAAUUUUCAAAUUUCGAGCUCUUCGCAAACAACGACCAAAAGUACUUGAAAAAUUAAAGAAAAGAAAAGUCUAGAUUUAAAUUAAGAAUGCUUGGUAUUAAUAAUAUUAACAAGAAAUAAUUACAAAUGAAUUCCCCGGCAACAGCACCAAAAACUUGUUGUUCAAUUUUUUACUCACGCAAGUGCACGUAUCGCAAAGAUAAAAUAGAGAUAAGUAGAGUGUCAAUCCCAUAGAGAAUUGAAUUAAUUCUUAUUGCUAACUACUAAAAUUAACACACCUUAAUUUUAACUAAACAAUUAAAAUUAAAAAGGAAAAUUUAAAUUAAUAAAAUAAAAUCUAUAACUAAAACUAAUAUAAAAUCUAUUCGCAAAUUUACUUUAUUAAAUUCUAGUGACUACUAGACCUAAGAUUAUGAUAUCCCUCGAUACUUCAUUUGAAUAUUGUCUCUCUCUUUUAACUUAUUUUAAUGGAUUAAGUUGCUAACCUAGAGUCCCAAAUUAUUUACAAGUCUCUGUCGAGUUUCUUAUAAAAAUAACUCUCCCAAUUAAUUUACUAUAUGUCUAUGCAAAUUAUAGUGAAGAAAGAUUCAUGAAGUUUAUGCUCUAAUUUUGGCUAUGUAUGGCAAUUAGAAGCAUUAAGAACAGAAUAAAAUAAACAAAUUAAAUCCAUCAAACAUAAGCAAAAGUGAGAUAAAUAAAUUAGACUACAUAUUAAGUUCAAUCAUAAUCUUAGAUAAACAAUUUAGCUCCCCAUCAAGUCACACAUCAUCAUCAAAUUAAAGUUAAUCAUCAAAACCCAAACCAAGAAAACAAAAUAACAACAAAAAGAUAAAAGGAACCCAAGAGUUGAAUUCUUGAUCUCCAAAUUUCUUGAAUUCUUCAAUUUCUUCUUUAGCUCCAAUGAGACCUUUCUUUAAUGACUUUGUGGCUUGAUUUCAGCUCUCAAUCUGUUGUUUCGUUCUCCCUUUUAAAAGUCCUUCAAAAGGUUGUUUUUAUAGUGCUUUGAAUUUAAGCCAAGUUGAGUGAAGAAAGAAUUCAAUUCGAACUAGAAUUUCCUCAUUAGAAUAUGUGGGCCAUGGCCUACUUUCUCCAAAGCCUUGGCCUUGACCAUUUAAAUAGUAAAAAUCGUAAUUGUUCUAGGACUACUGCAGUGUUUCAACUUCGACAGAAGUUUUGACCACAUUCCAAGCCAAACUAGGUAAAGUGGUAAACAUGAAAGUUGUAUCUUUUUCUCUUAGCUUUCCAAUGAUCUAGAAUUACUUCAUUUAGAGUUCUAUAGAGAGAGUUAUGGCCAAAAUAUCGAAACACAUGCAAUGAAAGUCUGCACCUUGAAAUUGCUCUUCUUUUUCCACUAAAAUUCUUCUUUCAUCAAGCACCUGCAAAAGUACAAACAAAUCAAUAACAACCUAUCUUAAUCACAUUAACACCAAAUUAAGCAUAAAAUUAACUAAGAUUAGAUUAACUCACCUAAAUUAAAUAAUUUAAAAUAAUUAAAUAAAAACUACUAAUUUUAUGCAUUACUAUAAGAACUACGCUAAAUUACUAUCAAAAUUAAGCCUAAAUAACUCUAUAUCAUAGAGUUAUCACACUCCCAAACUUAACAUUUUGCUAGUCCUCGAGCAAACAUAGAAAACAAGUUAAAACUUAAUAUUUUGCUAGUCCUCGAGCAAAACAUAGAAAAGAAACUGACUUAUGAAAAUCAAAUUCAAUUAAUGAAAACUAAAAUAAAUAUAGUUACUACUACUAUUACUAUUACUACCAGAGAUAAAGUGCACUAACUCAAUGAUUCUCUAUAAUUUCUUCAAAAGUAUGUCUAUCAAUCAUUAACCUAAGGAAAAAUAUAGACAUAAUUUAAAUACACGUUUCAAUUCUAAUGUAAGCACAUUUUCGAAUGGAUUUCUGUGUGUGUGUGAAUCUUUUACCAAAAGUAUCAUGAUAUCCAGAUAAGUUUAUGCCAAUACAAAUUUUAAAUUAGUAAUAAAUUCCUUAGGUUUACUUUUCAUCUUUCUCUCCCAUUAAUGUAGACUAAUACAAAGUUAGGCAUUAAUAGGACUUUAUAAAGUUUGUAAUGUAUGGUUAGGGUCAAGGUAGGAUAAAGGAUAUUACUGUAGCUCAAAUCACCCUAAGCACAUAAUUAUUUUAGGACCUAUAUAUAAAGCUCCAUUUUCCUUCUCCUAGUACACCUUUUCUUCCACGUUUGAACUUUUCUUUUUUUUUUCAACACAUUUUUUUUAACAAUUCCACACCCCCAAACUUAUUUUCUUUGUAUUGUAUGUAGUGGGGUUAUUUAUCACAUUUUGAACUUUAUUUUUUUUUCACAUCAGCAUCACCUUUCCAACUUUUUUAACAUUUAGCUCAAUCAAUAUUUCCUAAAAUAAUAUACAUGCUUAGAAGUGAGGGUUGUAAAAUUGAAAAAUUAAUUUUAAGGCUAAGCUCAAUUAUUAUGUAGUUAAAUAAAGAAAAGGGAAAUUAGGCUCAAAAGGGAUAUACUAGGAUUACAAAUUUAACAAGGUAGGCUUUUUAGGCUCAAAUAGUCCAAAGAUGGCUUAAAUCAUCUCCCUAACUAAGUAUUACCUAGGAUUUCACUUCGAGAAAAAAUCAAGCAAAUUCUAAAAUUUAUGACAUAAUCUAAAAUUCACAUGAAUAUAAAUCUUCUUUAGAUAUUUAGAAUAAUUCAAAGUAAAAGAUACAGUGCUCAAAAUUGUGAAAAUCACAUUCUAACAAUGAUACUUAAUAAAAGCAUUUAGGAUGAAUCCACACAAAAACCAAUUAACCAGAAGCUAAGAAUUCAAGACAACUAGUUAUCAUCAUUAGAUGGAGAAAUCAUCGAAAAAAAUUGGCACAACUUUAUUGUAGAUUCCUAAAAUUCAAACAAGUAAUAAAUUCAUUUACCAACUAAUCUUAAAUUAUUUAUAAAAAUAAAUAUGCAUACAAGUAAAAUUAAAUUUAAAACUUUAAUAGAAUAUUCACCACCACAAAAAUAAAUUAACCCCGCCAAACUUAAACUAAACAUUGUCCUUAAUAUUAGAAAAAAUAAAAGAAAGGUAAAUAAUACUCCUUUGAUGGUUAGAUGAAUCUGGAGAAGCUUUGAUCUUCUUCCUCGUCACCAUCAUCCUCUACAUCAUUAUCCUCAUUUUCUUCUAUCUCAUUAGCACCGAUAAGAAGAUUAGGUGCCGGUGGAAAAGUAGACAUAUCCAUUCCCAUAAAAGCACCAUAAGCUCAAAAUAUGUGGUCCAUAUGUUGAUUACAUUAGCUUUGAUAAGCCAUGUGUUGCUCAAAUUAUUGUCCAAGGUUCUCAACUAGGUGCUCAAGGUUCUCAAUUUUUUAGGUUAUUGACAAUUGUUGGUGCCUUGGUCGAGAGGGUGGAGGAUGAUGUGUAAAAGAAGAACUACCCCUAGUAGCAGUUUGAGAUUGUCUAAGGAUGAGAUUAAGAUCAAUUGAAAGUUUAGGGUGCAAUAACUCCUCACUAACAUCCCAAUGUACACCAGCUUGUUUGCACAUAACUGUAAUCAUAGAAGGGAACCACAAGCCUUCACGCUUUGAUUUUGCAGUGUGAGUCAUGGCUUUUGUAAAUUAUGUGACCAAUAUCAAUUUUGCAUCUAGUCAUGAUUAAAUGAAUGAGAAUGACUCGAUCUUUUGUGACAUCACUAGUAUAUGUGGUAGGAAGUAAUUUGGAAGCAACAAAAUACAACCAUAUCUUAGAAGUUGGUUUCAUCACAGUCCUUUUGAAUGAAACUAGUGCAUUAUUGAAGAAUCGCCAUUAAGCACCCUUAUCAUAGAGUAUAUUAAUAAUAUCAUCCCAAUUCUUAUGCUUAGCCUAAUAUUAACCAUAUCCAUUGUUUUCAAUAUCACGAGUUUCAUAAAAUUCAUUGAUGGCAUAGAUCGAGAAUGGAACUAAUUUACUUCUCACAAAAACAAAACCAUUAGUAGCUUCAACAGUGUUAGAGUAAAAUUCUCUUACCAAAGGGAUACUUGCAACUGCUGGCGAGGCACAAAAUUUUUGCUAGUGGUAGCCAUCAAUUAUUGGUGGAAUGUCAAGGUGUCUAAUCAACCCUUGAUCCAGUCCUCGUUCGAGUAUUGCAAUUUUUUUGCAAGAGAACUUGUGUGUCUAGCCACAGCAUCAAUUGACACAAAUUGAGUAUGAUCAAACGUACUAGUUGUAAAACCCAACCCUAUAAACACAUGUCAUGACAUACAUGCACUGAGUAGCAUGUUAUUAUGCUAGGAAAGCACCUAAAAAUAGACGAAACCCGGUAUUAUACAUAACGAUACACUUGAGUUGAUUUAACCUCAAACUAGUUCAAAUAGGAAUCGUAUGAUGAAAUUUAAUAUUUUACAGUCCAGGAAUGACUAAAAAUGAUUGUUCGGAGUUCGAGGGUUCAUUUGGGGUAAAAUUGGAAAUUUAGAUGUUCAGGGGCAAAAUCGUCUUUUGCAACCUAAGAUAAUAAUUUGAUCAUGGAGUGAAAUUUUUGACCAAGAUUAACUAUUUGGAGUAUAAUUUAAUGAUAGGAAGUGAAAAAAUUUAUCUUUGGUGAUUUUUGGAGUGUAGGGGUAAAAUUGUAAUUUUACCACUCGCGAAUAAAAUUUGAGAUUUUGAGAGAAUUUAGAUCAAAUUUGACAAAUUGGAGAAUGGUAUGAGUAUAAGGGAUGAAAAAUAUGUCGAUGGGCGAUUUUUCAGUUUUUUGGGCAAAAAUAUAAUUUUUCACUUUUACGGGGGUAAAAAUGUAAAUUUUAAAAAUUACUCCACCGAGACUUUGGAUAAGUCUGAGAAUUUUAUCUAAGCUAUGAGUAUGUGGGACAAGUGUAUGGUGAAAAUUUGGAAACAAAUGGAUGAAAUUUUAAAAAUGGGCCAAUGGGAAAGUGACACGUGGUAUUUUUUUAAUGAUAUAAUAUUAUUUUAAUGAAAAGUCAGCCCAUUUAAACCCCAUUUUAAGUGCUGGCCGGCCAUAAGGGAGAACAAGAGAGAAAAUAGAGAGGAAAGGAAGAAAAAAAGAAAAACCAAAGAGAAACAAGAAAAUUCAAAGGGGAAUUCACGUUUUUCGCCCGUUUACGCGUCUAACGGUAAGAUUUUUUGACUUUAGAUUGAUUUCUACCUUUCUUAUACCUUUGUUUCCAUUUAGCAUGCUUGAGGAGAGAGAUCUAAAAUUGACAUCAAGGGCUGGACGAAAUUCUAGGGGAGAGAUUUUGAAAUUUUUUGGUUUUGAUUUUUCGUUAAAUUGGUAGUUUUAGUUAGUUAAAUGUGUUUAGAAAUUAAAUUGGGCAAGAAAGCAUUAAAUUUCACAAUACCCACCCUUGGCCGAAUAUGCAAUGAGGUACAAUGAUGAUGAUCUGAUUUUUAUUCUAAGAAAAAUGAAAAGAAAAUGAUGAAAAAUGGUUAAAUGUGAUAGAAAAACAAAGUAGAAAAUUUACCGAGUUAAUGUCCCAUUUUUGGCUGAAUUUUCCAAGGAGGAAAGUGAACUGAUUUUGGUGACUUUAGAAAGUUAUUGGAUGAUAUUUAAUGUUUAGAAAUGUUGGAGAGAGAAUGGGACGAUUUAGAGUUAAAAUGGAGCGCGUUAGCAAUUUAUCGGGUAAAGUGCUAAAAAUAGGUUAAUACCGCGUUUAAGCCAUUUUUGGCUAUUGCAUUUCAUACCAUGCAUUAGUAUAGGAUUUAAGUCAAAUAUAUAGUGAUUUAGCAUUAAUGUGAUGAAUUGAGUAAAUUUUUGCAAUGUGUUUAGGAGGAGAGCCUUCCGGUAAAGGCAAAGAAAUCGUACCCGACGAGUAGUUAUCGGGGCACCUAAAAAGUAAUUAGUUUGUACAAAUGGUGGGUAAACCUAUUAUUAUUGUGAAUUAUCUAGAGUUAUUUUAAAAAUGCUCUUUAUGUAUUUUAUGAAACGAAAAUGAGAUUAAAACAGGAUUUUUGAUGUUUUAGAAAUAAAUGUGACAAAAAAAUAUAUAUUGUGUUGAUUAUGAAAUUGAAUAAUUGGAGGCUGUUAAUUGUCUUAAAAAUUAUAUAGUUUCCUAUGAAUGGCUUAUGAGAUAUAAGUAUAUGUGGCAAUAUUUUGUAAGUGCAUUGGGAAAUUUAUGUAAGUUGUUUUUACUAUGCAGACUGGAUAAAUAAAUAAAAGUCACGUUAUACUGUCAAAAUUUUAUUAAAAUUGGUGGGUUAGUCACUGCAGUGACGAGUUUUCGUGGACUGCCUAUUAGAGGGGCACGAUAAACCCGGUUAUAUAGUUACUCCGGUUGUAGAGGCGAGAAGGGAAACUCCCGAGGUAGUAUUAGAGUUCACUUCACGUCGAACCCCCACGUGAAUGUGUAACUCGGCCAAUGCCAAGGAACGGC
rnacentral:lncRNA from 1 species